rnacentral:lncRNA from 1 species
GCACCCCAGCCCUUCAUGGCCUGGCGCGCCAUCUUGGCACAGUGAUGCCAAAUGUCCACCGCACAAUAGACACGCGGCGGGGAGGCGGCAGCCCAAUGCCACUGGUCGCGGACCAACUCGCGGAAACCAGGCUGAUCCAACCAAAAAGUCUCAAAGCGAAAGCGCCGUGAUCUAGGGGGGAGCCUUCCCCCGACGAGAAGAGCAGGGGCGUAUGGUCUGAGCCAAUCUGCGUGAUGGCCCUAAGCCCGCACAGGAGGAACAUCACUUCCCACUGAGGCGACACAAAGACCCGGUCUAGAACACUCCGGACGGGGUCCGCCUGCUUGUUCCACCACGUGAACCUGGCCCCUACGCGAGCUAUCUCACGUAGCGCCAAGUCUGCAAUGCAGUCAUUAAAAAGACGCAUCUGGGGUCGAUCUACAUUCUGAGAGCUUUUAUCAGAAGCCCACCUAAUAAAUUAAAAAUCACCAGCCACCACUACAGGGGUGGUGCACCUAUCCACCUUAUUCUUUAGCUCGGCGAGGAAUUCUGCGGAGCGGGCAUGGUCUGCCGGACCAUAGACAAUAAUCACCUCCCAGCUGAGGUGGGUACGUCGGUCGGUGAUGGCCAUGCUCACAAUGAACUCCCCCCGGUCCAUGUCCUCCACCGAGAACGCCUCCUCCCGAACACCAAGCAGGAUUCCCCCAGAGUGGCCCGAUGCAGGGAGCCACUGCCAGGAGAACUGGUGGCGGGAGAGCCUCUGAAGCUCGAGCAUGCUAAAGUCCUACCGAAUCGUUUCUUGCAGCCCUACUAUGUCAAUCUCUUCUUGACGCAAAUACUCAACAAGUUGCCGCCGCCGGCCAGGGAGGCCGAAGCCCCUAAUGUUCCAACAUAGGAGCUUCAUUUAACAAUCUCGCCUGGAUUUCUAGGCCCCGCAAGCGGGGCCGAACUAGCCCGCCCGUCAACCUCGAGGCGGGGGAGCGCCUUAGAUGGACGACCCCGGUGUCCCCGAGAAGAGGGGACAUCGGAGGUCGCCGGGCCAGAGGAGGGAGCUCCGGGGCCUGACACUCGCUCCUCUCCACGUGUCUCAGUGGGGUUGAGACGGGUAGGCGGCCGCCCCCUGGGCUUCCGGACAGAGGGAAGCCCACCUAUGGGCGGCACAGGACCAACUGCAACCGCUGCCGGAGGUGCGCCACCAGCCCUGGUCUCUCUAUGACCAGGACCGGCGUGCACCGGGGGAGAGGGGGAGUUGGAGCGCGCGGCGAGACAGCGCGCUUCCGCUAACACCCCCUCAAGCCUCUCUUUCGCACAGAGGGCGGAGAUAUGCUCAAGAGGGGGACCUUUCUCCCCCCGAAACACAAUACUACUGUUCGCAGCCACAACAGCCAAAAGGGGCACCAAAUCGCUAGAGAGAACAGAAAACCAAGAACCAGAGCCAGAAGGGGGAGGAGAGGAGGCGUACCUGGGAACAGAUCGCGGGCCGCAGCACGCCGGGCCGCCAGCUCAGGCAUCGUCGGGACGCGGCCGUCCUGAAGGGUCCGGGACUGGCUGAUCCGAGCGCUCUGACGUGCCGACACGAUGGGGGAAGUGCCCUCCCGAGGCCGAGAGCGGGGCACAGGAGGGUACUCGGGCGCCCAACCAGGGUUGACGACCACCGGAGGGCGCGAAUCCGGGGACCCCAAGGUUGGGGAAGGGGGGAACUCGGAGAGCACGAGUAGCAAACCACCCCUGGCGAGCGCGGGGACGAAGCAGGGCAGACCUCCAUACCCACACUCACCUCCUCCUCAGCAGCGACCACCGGGAUAGGGGAAGCAGGGAGAGUGAUCUCCAUGCCUACCACCACCACCGGCGCCAAAGUACCCACCGUGGAGCCUCCUGCGAGCCCCGACUGGCCAACACCCGAGGGGGCGGGGGUGCGCCGACCGCCAGAUGGCUCGGGCGGAGCCCCGACCGUAUCAUCGUCCCCCUCAGAAGAAGGCCCCUCCUCCGACGAGCCCCCCUCCUUGUCAAGACCCCCGUCGGCAGGCUCCAGCCCAGGCGGGACCGGAUCUAGCUGAGCCGCUGAAGCCGGGGACUCGAGCUCGAAGGUCAGACGCCUGCCCUUGGACCCAAAGUAGAAGACCAAAGACAACCCGUCAAUCUCAGCAGGAGCCGGGCAGAGAAUCUCAAUGCGGGCAGGGCCAUCAUCCUCGAAAGAUGCCAGGUCGGCGGUGAUCAGUUUGCCCAUGGGUUUAGAGAUGGCUUUCAGAAUAUGACUGAGCUUGCCACCCCGCGGAGCCGCACUGCCCCCCCUUGGGAGGCCAUAGACGAGGACCCAAACCUUCUCCAAGGGAGGGACGGGGUCAGGCUCUGACAUGGCCGCCUGGACGCUGAUCGGGAGCUGGUUGAGGGGACACCGGAUAGGACCAUGCGAGCAGACCCGGAGUAGCUCGGCCGAGGGGAAGGGGACCGAGAAGACCAGGGGAGCCGUCUCAGUCACCUCCCAUGCGAACUCAGAGCCGCGAAAGUCGCCAAUGUAGGCCGCAAGCUCAUCCUGGAUGAGGUCAGACGAGAUCACCAGGCCAUCCGGGAUAGGCUGCUCGGGCUCCAAGGUGACCGUCGCUAGGUGAGGACGAGCAGCUACCUCCUCAAUCUCCGCAUCCACGAAGUAGAAGCUUCCCCGCUCAGUGCCAUACCCAAGAUAGGCAAGAAUCGUGGGGCACCGUGGGGGAGCCUCACACUCCGAGCGGUAGUGCCCGGUGCACCCGCAGUUGAUGCACAUCGUGUCCUCGCGGGAGCGCUGGCGGGUAGCACGAGCAGGGGGUCUAGAGCCUCAUGCUCAGGAGCCCCCUGAGCUCCUGGCGACGUCAGGCCGCCAGCACCGCCAACAGCCUUCUUCUUCUUCGACUUCAUCUUCUUCUUAACCGGGGUCGGGCGGGAAGCGGAGCAGCAGGCAGGGCAUCUGGGGACACGUGCCUAGAAGGCCCGUCGUCCCGGCACCAGUCCGCACCCGUCGCCCGAGAGGAGCGCCAGUCAGCCCGACGUCCAUCAUCACCGCGCCGCAUUGGCGGCCCGCCCCACCGCUCCCCCGGGCGGUGGUCCUGGCGAUCACGGGGCGGCCCGCCCCACCGCUCCCCAGGAAGGCGCCGCGGGGCGGUGAGCGAGGUCCCGAGCCGGGGGGUAGCGGGGCGCUGGCUCCUCACACGGCUGAGAUGCCGGAGUGGGGCGAGCAACCAACUCUGCACACAGAGUCGCUUCCCGGUCCAGGUCGGCCGCGCGGGCGGCCUCCAGGCGGCGACGGUCCCCCGGCGAACCCGGCAACGGCAGGCGGGGAUCCCUCUCCGGAUCACGAGGGGGAGGCGGACGGCGAAGGGAGGUCCCGGAGUAGUACUCCGGGGACUUCCCCGGCCGGGCAGACCCACCGCGCCCGGAACGGGACGAGGCAGCACCCCCUUCCAUGGCACGGUCACGGGCGGCGGGCAGCGCCUUCAACACCGCGCGAGCCUGGUCACGAGAGGUUGGCGUAGGGAGGAGCCCCUGCCCAGCCGGGAGAGGCCGCUUCGGUCGGGCCUGGCCGUUCCCGGCGUGGCGUGUCAUGAGCACGUCCCGGUAGGAGCGCCGUGGGGAGGGGAUGGGGAGCAGGUCCGGGCGCCGGGCAGCAGACGAGGGCGCGUCGCCGGCAGUGCAGGCGAGGACGGACGAGGUGGAGGGAGCUCUAUGGCUGACGGGACGGGGCGAGCGGGGCCUGGGGAACGGCCGGCGGGACGGGGCGAGCAGGGCCUGGGGAACGGCGGGGACGUCCGCGCCCGACGGGAGAGAGCGAGAGGAAAGGGAGCGGGAGCCCGACCGGAGAGAGCGAGAGAAACGGGAGCGGGACGGGGCGAGGCUGCGAGGUGGCGGUGGCGCACGCUCGGCAGGGUAAACCCUAUCCCCGAGCCGGUCCUCCCGACGCAGGCCUGGGCCGGGACGCGAGCAUGGGGGAGGCCCAGGUGGGCAUCGGCCCACUGCCGGUUAACCUUCUCCAGGACUCGGGAGACGCGGCGGGAGGCCCAGGCCAUCUCGCUAGCUGAGAUGGGCCCAGGCCCCGUUCGCAGCGGCCCAUGGGGAGAGCCGGCCCAUCCGUCCGCCAGCCGGCCAGGGGAGUUAGGGCAUGGGGGAGGGGACUGACGAGGCACUCGGGCACCUCCCGCUGCCGCCGGCACCGCCGCCGCCGCCACAGGAGGCAGGGCACCAGCGCCUGGUCGGGGCUCGCGGGGGCCCUCUCCGGCGACCGCCAUGGGGGACAACCCAGGCAGCAAACCGGCUCGGGCCAAGGAGGGGAGAGGGGGAACCACAGGGGGACAGUGCACCGGCGACCGCCGCCCGACCUCCUUCCCCGGCCGCCGGCGGGCAGGGCGCGCCGCAGCCAGGAACGAGCCGAGCAGCGGCGGUGCCAGGGACACCGGCAGCUCCAACCGGUCAUCACCAUCCGAAGAGGCCUCCAUGUCAUCGGGGUCGGGAUCGUCCGUCCAGUCCGCCCAACGUCGCGGCGACCGUUGGAAGCAGAGGGAGGGCGCCCCCGGCGGGGGAAGCGGGGGCAUCGCGCUCACGCAGCACGCCGGCCGACCGCCGUCAGCGGGCACCGCGCAGCUUCAGGUCUCGGCCCGCCGGAGAGGAGCCGCCCAUCGCUUCUUCUCUUCAGGAAUCUAGUCGCCGGCCCACAAGUGGGGUGAUGAACAAGCUAAUGCGAUUUAAAGUAAUCAUACCUCGUCCUAAGAAAUUAAAAGUGAAUUCAUACUGUGCAGCUAGAAAAAGAAUCAUAAAAGUAUACAAGCGCAUGUGAAAAGAAAAAGAUGAACAACUUGCCACUUCAUAUAGGUGAUCUAAUUAACUAAUUUAGGGUUCGAAUAACUUUGUUUCCCCACAAUCAUGACAAAGUGAACCUUUUGUUGAAAGCCGGAAUUCUGCAAUAAAGCUGCAAUGGUAGAUCUAUUUUUAUCAGGGAAUCUACCAUGCUGAGCUGCUGCACACAAGGCGUUCUCACUCACGAGUCGCAAAAAAGAGUUGGUGAGUUAUUAAAAAAGAAGACAAAGAGGACGAGUGAGUUGCACCAAAAUUAAAUACUUCCUUCAUUUCAAAAUAAAUGUCUCAAUUUUAUACUACCUCUAGUAUAAGAGCAUGGUUAAUAGUAUAGUCAACUGCUGGCUAUAAGCUAUCUUAUAGCCUAUCUUAUAGCUAGCUUGUACAAUAGUUAGCUAUAAAAGAGUACUACUUUUAUUCUAUAUGGCCCACCUUUCAUUUUCACAAAGCACCUACGAGCACGUGCUAGAGCUGGCUCUUUACGAAGAGCCCGCUUCCCUUCUCACUCCUAUUCUCUCUCAUCCAACUCAGCAAAAAUACAGUAUUUUAAUCCUUACAGCCUGCUGACUGUACCUUAUUGUACUUGCUCUAAAGUUGUACUCCCUCCGUUCCAAAAUAUAAGACCUUUUAGAGAUUUAUUAGAAGACUACAUACGAAGCAAAAUGAGUGAAUCUAUACUCUAAAAUAUGUCUAUGUACAUCCGUAUGUAGUUCAUAGUGCAAUCUUUAAAAUGUCUUAUAUUUAGGAACGGAGGGAGUAUUAAGUUUGAGGCGGUUAUAUUGAGACGGAGAGAGUACUAGAUAUACGUAAUCUGAAAUAGUGGAGUACCAAAAUUAUAGGCCUCUAUGAUUAGGAGGAUUUUCAUAAAACAUUUGGAAAGUUGUGAUACUUGAGAAUUUUUCCUUUAUCGCUUAUCUGAUUCGUAGAUUGACUCCUAUAGGAUUUUCUCCUAUGGAUUCCCUUUGACUGCACAUUUCAUGAAAAAAAACAUUAGUUUGCCAUGAUAAUUUUUCACCAGGAUGCACAAAAAAUGAACUAGUUCUGAAAGGUUUAUUGGCUUCAUUUGGAUUUACUUAGAAUCAGCUCAUAUUAGCAAUAAUUAAAGAUGGCCGAACGAUGGCGCCGUCUCCCUCCCGACCCGGGGCCGCAUGCAGCCCCUCUCCCUCUGCCCCCCUCCUCCUGUCGGUGCCCUCGGAUCUGGUCCGGGUGGUGUUGGCGGUGGCGGGAUCUCCAUUACCUGUGCGCGGACGUCCUUCCCGAGGCAGGGGAUCGACGGUGGUGCGGCUCGGCCUGCUGUGGUCCGACGACCUAGAGGUGGUGGCCGGCAGCCGACGUGGUGGUGGCGCUGCUCCUUGGCGGCGGGGUGGCCUAGCGGCACGGGGUGGCCGGCUGCACGACCCCGGGCCAGAUCAGGGCCCAUAAGGCCUCAUCUAGGUCCUAGGGGACUGGCUCUGGCAUGGACUUGCUGCCUCCUGUACAGGGAUGAGGAGGGGCGGGUUGAAAGGGGGGCCGCGAUGCCGACGGUGUGCUUUCUGCAGCGCGAUGGCAGGAGCUUUAUGGGUAUUUGUGGGGCCAUGAGCCUGGUUUGCUCCUGCCGAUGUGUCCGGUCGGUUACUGUCGUUGACGAUGGAAGUCGGACCCUCCCGCAGGCCGCCGGUGUUGCUUCCCCUAGUCCCGACUCUUCUUCUUCGAUGUGCAGGCCUCACUUCUCGGUGUCCUGGUGAGACAGUGUGGGUCGCUUCAAGAUUGUGCUUGCGCAGGGCGGUGGGUGGUAUGGUGGAGUCCUCCGGAACGCCCGUGGUGAUGCGUGGGGAUCGGGACGUACAAAUCCUUGUCGGCCUGUUCGACACCGACACGGUGACGCCUGAGGGUGUCGACGGACCUUCCUGGAGGGUGUCGGGUGCUACCCUUUCUUUGUCCUCGUUGUGUAUCGGGGGAAACCCUUGGCAGCAGCGCAGUCAUCGUCGUGUCCCUUCUUGGAGGUGUUGAUUGGUAUCGGCGCUUCGAAGGCUAGGAUCUUGGUGGAAGAUCUUCGAUGGGCGCAACGAUCGCGGGGCCUCUUCAUUUUUGUCGAUCCAUCAUUGUUGGCAUCUAUUCCUUUUGCAUUUUCUUUUUCCCUUCCUUUUGGACGUGAUUGUGAUGUCUCCGUCCCAGCACUUAUUGAUGGAUAUAUCGGGCAUUUGCUAUAUUAAUAUAGCGAGGCGAACGCGUGCUUCGAAGAAAGAUGGACGAACUUACCAACCAUAUUACUUGUGCUUAUUUAUUUUCUUCUGUUACAACGCACAAACAUAUUUGCUAUUUGAACUAAAUCACAUUGCCAAUUGCUCGUCUAUCAUGUCAAAUCAGAACCACGCAUCUAACCCUCCCAAGAUGUAGAUCGAUCGGUUUUACUCGGCAUUCAUUAUGGAUCGGAGGGAGUACUCCUAGAUCAUAUUCAAAAUUGCUCCACGCCACAAAUAAAACUGCACGGUACAUAUGGUAAAUCUGGGAAAGUGAUUUGCGUGGUAUGUGUGCCAUAAUCAACUGAAUUAUUGGACUAACCGCAUCAAGAUCGGAUCACAUCGAUCCUAUCCCCGUCGACGAGACUGUCCUCGAAUCAAAAUAUUUCUCCAAUGGACGCUCGUGUCCCACGCUCUGAAAGCGACGCCUUUUGUUUUGUCAGUUAAUUUUCACGUCAAGCUCACACCCACGCACGCACCGUGUAGGAUCCACGGCUCGACGCACCUCCCCUUCCCUCCCCUUCUCCCUAUUUAACGAGCUAGCCACCCCCACGCUUUUUGCACCUCAGCAAGCACCAACACACACACACACACAAGAAAUGGCGAUGGCUAGGACGACGACGCUCCUCCUCGUCGCCGCAGCUCUCCUCGCGGCCUCAUGCAGCGCAUGGGAGGUCAACAUCCGCAUGCCGACGUCGGCGGCGGACGUGGACGAGGCGGUGGUGGCGCCGCUGAUCCACGCGCUGCGGCCGCUGCUGGGCUCCGGCAAGCACGCCGGAGUGGCGUGCGACAGCUGGGUGCUGGGGGUGGAGGCGCACAACGUGCGGGACUGGAAGACGGUGCCCGCGAGCUGCGAGGGCUACGUCGGGCACUACAUGCUCGGCAGCCAUUUCCGCCGCGACUCCAAGGUCGUCAUCGACCAGGCCCUCGCCUACGUCGACUCCCUCAAGCUCGCCGGCAACGGCAAGGAGGUCUGGGUCUUCGACAUCGACGAGACCACCCUCUCCAACCUCCCCUACUACGCCAAGCACGGCUUCGGGUACGUACUUACACUCUUGUAUACAUUACAUAGACACUACUGAUUCUACGUGUAGUGCAUGCAUUAGACUUGCUAUUUACUGCAGGUACAUCCGACCGAGCAGGGACUUGCACUCAUCUUUUCACUAAGAUGAAGUGUAAAUAAUCUGACUAGAUAUAUAUUGUAAAAAAUCAACUCACUAGCUAGCUAAAAAAUACCAGCGAGAUCUGUAAUGAAUGAAAAUUGGAAAGCACAUAAGGAUAGAAAUAUUGGAAAUAAAAAGGAAUAUAAUCACUAAGUAGAAAAGUACUUUAAUCACAAGUGUUGGACACUUGGACAUCAUCAUUGCCAGUAGGACUCGGGCCAUAUGUCCCUAGUAUGAAUGGCCAACAAAACAAGAAGGAAACAUACUAUAUUUUGAGAUAGAGAUGUGAUGUUGAUGGGCAUGCGAAUGUGGUGGCCGGGUAGGACCGUAUAUGUUGUCCACUUGGCUACUUUAUGGAAAUGUUCUAAUUAUGUUAUGCUAGUCAACUCAUACUUUCUAAUUAUGUCAUACUUUUGUACACAUACACACUAUUGUAGUGCAUUAUACUCCCUCUCUAUCUAAAUACUUAGAGUUCGAAAGAACUAGGUGCAUUUCAGCAGGGGCUUGCACUGAUCUAUUCGUUCAGAUAAAAUAAAUAUCUUACUAGACCUCGUUCAAAUGAACUCACUAGCUAGAAAGCACUAGUAUCAUAAGAUUUCUAAUGAAUGAAAGUGGGAAAACAAAUGAGACUAGAAGUGGAAACAAGGAAUAUACUCACUAGCUAGAAAAGUAUUAAUUGGACGUGUUGGACACACUUAGGCAGCAUCAUUGCUGGUUACCUCAAAUCAGUCACAGAGACGGCCAUCAGGACCAUAAAUAUGUCCCGCCUAUGAAUGGUCAACAAAACAAGAAGGAAACAUAGUACUAUAGUUUGAGAAUAUGGUGGCCGGGGUAGGACCGUAUAUGUUCUCCACUUGGCUACUUUAUGGAAACGUUUAUUUCCAGCUGUCCUUAUCAGCCGAUACGUUCUAAUUAUGUUAUGCUAAUCGAUUGAUAUUUUCUGAUUAUGUUAUGCUAAACUUAGUUCAGAUGGAUAGUACUCCGAUACGUUUUCAUUAUUUUAUGCUAAUCUGAGUUUAGAUGGAUAUAAUUACUUAUUUUAGAAGAUGUGAGAGGUCAGAACAUCUUGUGCAUAGUUAGUAGUUACAUGCUACUCCCUCCGUUCCUAAAUACAAAUCUUUUAAAAGAUUUCACUAGUGGUCUACAUAUGAAGCAAAAUGAAUGAAUUUAUACUAUAAAAUAUGUUUAUAUACAUUCAUAUGUAUUACUCUAACCUCUAAAAAGAUUUAUAUUUAAGAAUGGAUGGAGUACAACUCUAUUCCUCUUUUCUCAAAUAGUUGAACACUAUUCCUCUUAGUUAAGAAGAUUCUCUUGAACCAAGAUGGAAACUAACUUGAAAUGUAGUAGAAGUCUAGGUGAUAUCUAGCCAACAUGAUGAUACCAGUUUAGUUCAAAACAUGAUUAACUAGCUCCGGAUAGCUUGCUUGUGUAUAUUUUGAAUGUGAUGAGGGAGCUAGUUCGUUGUGAUUUAAAAUAAACUGUACCUUGCCGUAAGAACUUUAAAGUGGAUCUACACUGGGCGGCUGGAAAAAGAUACAUAAAAGUAUAUAUAUGCGCAUCAAGGAAAAAAGAAAGAUCAAAAGCUUAUAACAGCAUGUCUAACUAAUCGAGCGGUUCAAAUAACUUUGUUUCAUCACAAUCAUGACAAAAUUAACCUUUUUUGUUGAAAGUCGGAACUCUGCAAUAAGGUUGCAAUGGUAGACCUAUUUUACCAAAGGAAUCAACAAAGCUGAGCUGCUGCGUACAAAGCUGUGCACGAUGAGAUUAAAUACUACAACUGCGUUUUCGGUCCAACAAAACAGUAGCGUGAUGAUGCCGGAGUGAACCUCGCUAUGUCACAUUCAUUGAUUUACUCCACUUGACCAACUUAAUUUACGACGUCCACAACUACGUACUGCUCAUGCACGUGCGUUACGUACAGAUACAGAGCAUCAUUGCGUUUACGUAUUGCCCAUCCCCUUGGCCAUUUGGCCACUUGGGCCAUAAUCUAGGUUGCCUAUGUUCCUUGGAUAUGCAUAAUUACUACUACUUCUUAGUAGCUGAUAUGAUUGAAUCUGCCAUUAAUCUAUCCUCGUAUACAUGUGCGUGCAGGGCUACACCGUUCAACGCGACCAGCUUCAACGCAUACGUGCUACAGGGGAGCGCGCCAGCCCUGCCGGAGACGAAGCGGCUGUACAACAAGCUGCGCUCGAUCGGCGUCAAGCCGGUGUUCCUCACCGGCCGGACUGAGGACCAGAGGGCCAUCACCGUCACCAACCUCCGCCGCCAGGGGAUCUCUGGGUGGAUGAACCUCUUGCUGAAGCAACCCGGGUUCAAGGGCUCUGCGGUGACCUACAAGUCCGGCGAGAGGCAGAAGCUGCAGGACGCCGGGUAUGUCAUCGUCGGUAACAUCGGCGACCAGUGGAGCGACAUCCUCGGCGCGCCAGAGGGUGCCCGCACCUUCAAGCUGCCCGACCCCAUGUACUACAUCGGCUAGGCCGCCUCUGGCUCGGCCGGGCAUGCUGCCAUUGAUUUCUCGAAUAAGCUCCAUGCUCUUAGUUAUAUGCAUGUUUCGUCAGAUAAUCAAUCCCCAAUUGUUGCUUGGUUCAUUUCCAUUGUUGAGAGCUUGAGAUCAAUUGCUACUAUGAAUUAGACGUGUAAGUGGAGAUGUUGCAUGCUGCUUAAUCAAUGGAUCUUUGUUAUGUUGUUUUUCUUUUUGCUCUAUUACAAGGAAUCCAUGGGCAUUAUUACUAUUUGAUAUCUUGUUCUUAAGUCUUAACUUGGAACUUAUAUUGCUGGUGGUAGAUUUUUCUGUACUAAAUUCUGCAUAUGGUGUAUUAAAUAUCAGGGACACAUAAUAUUGUCACACAUAUGGAAUCACUACUGCUAAAAUGACCAGUUCCUGAACCCAUCUGCUAUUGGGCCCAUUUUGGCCCGUCGGAGGAAGGGAUCAUCGUCGGUGGACAGGCAAAGAAGUGCUCGCAUAGACUCCUUCAAAAAAUGUGCCCUCAUAGACGACGGGUAUUUUCCACUGAUGUUGCGCAACUGGUGAUUGCAAUGUAGUUUGUGUCUUGCAUGUUGUAUGCAUAUGUAAUGAAUGUAACAUCUAAUAGUUAAUUAUGCAAGACAAAUAAAGCCCACCCUUUUCAGUAAGUUUAGAGCUAGAUUUGAGUUUGUCUUGGUCUCAUUUUUCUAAACAUACAAUCCUGGAGACAACUCGGUGAAGAAAUGAUGGUCCAAAUAGGUGUCUAACACGAAUCGUCAUCAAAGAAACCCUAUGGGAACCCACACUAUUCUAGUUACUUGGAUGAUUUGUAAUGAAAGAAAUAUAUGUGUCUUCCAAGUUAUUUUGACCAUGCCAAACAACAUCCCUGCUAAGAUAAAAAACGAUGUGGAGACUUGGAUAAAGGCCGGGCGAAGGAUCUGGGAAACAUUAUGCCAGGAGAGUAGUUCCGUUCUAUUAAUUUAUCCUUGGAUGACGUUUCGCGGAGAGAGGGGAGAGGGCGACCUGGGCGAUCUGGGAGCGUCGGGGGCCGCCGUGGGCAUCGUCGGAGAGGGGGAACAUCGGUACUCCUCCUCCGAUCUCGCAUCCCAGGCGCGGCGCCGGAGCCCGAUCUCGGCGGUGGAGGGACCUACUGUCCGUGUCCGAUGGAGAGUUGCGUACUCAGAGGCUGGUUAUUCGGAUCUGCGUGAGGGGCAGAUUGUUUUUCAUUCGGUUUCUCGUUGGAUGACACUACGGGAUGACGACGACGACAUCCUCGCCGGCUGCCAUCUCCAAGAGGAAGAUCUCAUCUGCGAAGGUGCGCAUUUCAUGGUGGAUAUCUUUUCUGUUACUUGUAUUUCUCCUUUCCUGCAGGUGAAUUCACAAGAACGGAUGCAGCCUGAUUUGGUGGACAUAUCUGACGAUGAUAAGAUCGCCUCACCAAGACUUCUCCCUCGAGUUGGGGGGAGGUUUUGGGUACUGGCUAAAGAUGAAGACGACGAGAACCACGACAUUGCCGUAGCACAGGAGGUCUCUGCUCCUUUCUGCGACCAGGUUUUCCAUCCGGCCACGAGGGAUUUUAUUCAUGCAUUGCCUGAUUCGAAGGUCGUUAAGGUAGUUCAACGCAAGGAGCGAUUGGCGAUUAAACCUUGGAGCGGUCCUCUGCCUAAGGUUCAUCUCGAACCAUUGCGGAUCUCGGACAUCAUACCUUGAGAGGCUUGGACUACUGUUUUGCCUAAGAGGAAGAACAAGGGUAAGAGCCGUAAAUUGCAGACGUCAGUCCCUGACAAGGUGCUGUCGUCCCGUGAUUCUCGCGAAUUACGUUUGAACGAGCCGAUGGCUGUUGUCGGGCCGUUGGGACCGGCGCUCGAGUUGGGCUUAAAAGAAACUGGGUAUAUGGCCCAGAUAGACUCCAAUCUAGCAAAACCUGCAAGUCCUACACCUACGGCUGCCCAGAUUUGCCUUGACGAGAAUCAUCAGGACUUGGUUUCUACGUCAAGUUUGCAUAUACCGAGUUCGGCUCUGCCUAGGGUUCCACGACGGCGUUUGCCUGGCUUCCCUUCGCUCGGGCCGGGUCGUGCAGUACGGGUUCCAGCGCUGCGGUGCAUGGCGGGGCGGGGAAACAAGCAGGCGCUGCCUCCCCCUCGACCACCGGCGGUUUCCCAGGCUGUGGGGCGGACUAGGCAGCAGCCCGUGAUGCCGCCAGGGCGCCAGACGGGCCAGGCUUCGGCUGCACCGGUUCCCGCUGCUGGUCAGGGUUUGCCCAACGCGGCUCGGGCGGAUACUAACAGGAUGCAGCCGAGAGGUCGAUGGGGGGAUGAUGGUGUUAAUGCAUAUGGUGAUGGACAGCACCGUGGAUCCUCUUCGUCUGGAGGAGGACGUGGCUAUGCCUGGCAGAGCAAUGGCAGCGCUGCUAAUGGGUUCGCCGGUCCUCCGGGACAGUUUGUGCCCCGGGUCUCGGGUCCUACUCACCCUAGGGAGGUGGAUAUAAGCAACAUUGGGGAGGGAGAGGUGGUGGCAGGAGAUUGAAGCCGCCCACGCCUCCAGUAGAGGUAGAUGCUGCCAAGACAACGGCGGGAGUACCUUCCAAUGCUCCUAAGGGGAAUACACUGCUGCCACCUGUUUCCGAGGAGGAUCCUUCCUUGGCUGACAAGGGAGUAUCGCUUGCGAAGGCAGAGGGGGGGGGAUAGGCCCUCCAAGUGGGCACGCAAAAAAGAAAAGAUGACAUGCUACCGUUGCAGUGAGACGGGUCAUUUUGUUUCCGAAUGCAGCGCGGAUCUGUGUGACUUUUGCUUAAAGCCUAAGCAUGGCUCAGCUAAGUGCCCCCUUACUGUUGGUCCUAUACAUGUCGUCACUUUAUAUGGGGUUUGCUGCCAAGAGUUGAUGUUCUUUGAAUCUCCCUCUGCUUCAACGUCGUUGCAUGUGCCAGACGCGGCCUAUACGGGGACGGUUACGGUGGCUCGUGGUAAUAUGUCAGCUGAGCAGGUGGUGCAACAGUUGAGGGAUCUUGUUUCAUCAAUGUUUCGGUGGGAACUGGUCCUUAUAGCAGAUAAUGUGUUCAAGGUUGUGUUCCCUACCAAGGAGGACCUAGCUAGACUGCUCAAGUUUGGUAUGUGUCGGGUUCCUAGUACUAGUUGUGUGCUAGAGUUCGAUGCUUGGAAGAAUGAGGAGCCAUAAGGUGUGCCACUUCCUCAGAUUUGGGUUCGUUUUUCAGGGGCCCCGUCAAAGGCUCUAAAUGACUUUCUGGUGACUUGGAGUUUGGGAUCUUUGAUAGGUAAGACUGAGAGGGUGGAUAUGCAAUAUACUCGGGCUAAAGGUGUUGCCAGGAUGAGGGUUAGUGUAAUUGAUAUUGCGCUAGUACCGGAUGAAGUUAUAUGGACUUAUGAUGGAAUGCGGUACACCUUGCAACUCGAGAUCGAGAGUCCGGAUAUGUUCGAGGAGGAUGGGACAGACAAAGAUACCGAUAUGGCUGACGGAGAUGAUGCUUCGGGUUCUAGGGAAUCUGAUAAGAAGGAUCAACAGCCAGUUAUUACAAAGAUGGUGGAUCAACCUACCUCAGGUUCUGCUACAGGGGCUGCUCAACCAGUGUCUCUUCCCUCGACGCAGCUUAGGUUCGGUUCCUUUGAACCAGCCUCGGCGCCAGAGAUUCGAGGGAGGGCUUCAGAGAAGUAUGAGCGGGAUCUGGUUCAUCUUAAGCCGCAAGGAAAGCAAGCAAAGUCAGGGUCAUUCAGUAUUAAAAAUCCUAAGGAAGCUUUGACCGUAGUUUCUCUUGGGGAAUAUUUUGUUGUCGCUAGGAAUGCUGAUACGGGCCGGUCUCAGCAACGUGAUGCAGUGCAGCCAGCAAGGCAUAUGUUGUCCGGGUUGGGUACUGUGCCGAGGGGUGCGCCGCCUGGGUCGCCUAGGCAGGGUUCGCUGCUGCUGUAGAGUCCAUCGCCAGCCACCCAGGGGGUUGCUGUUUCUCGGCCAGCCACCCCUGGGGCUGCUACCUUUUUGCCAGCCACACCGAGGGCAAUUACAGCGACUCCUCCUCCUGGCCUACUUCCGUCGUUGGAUGCUGCUGCGAGAUCCACCCCUGCUGCUGGUUUCAUGUCAGCCGAGAGAUCAACCCCUGUUGCUGCGGUUCCUAUCGCUACUAUGGCUGCAACCGGGGCAUCAUCUUUGCGGGUGUCAGGGCUGGAGGGUACUGGUCAGGGGCACCAUGGCGAGGUCGUUGCACCGCCGUCUGUUGAGCAGGUCAUAGCAUACGGAGGUAUUCAAAGUCCGCUGACUUCGGACAGGAGGUCCAGUCGGCGAAUUCAGAAUCAACCUGAUGCGGAUUAUUUACAGAUGGGACGUGCUAUGCGUGCGGCUAAAAUGAGAGAUGUCGAAACUGAGACAGGUAUGUCUUUCAGCAUUAACGAUUCUAUUCUUCAUUUUUCUCCUCAAGAUAUUCUAGAUAAGGCAGGUUCUAUUGGGGUUACAUUGGGGAACAAUGGCCGAGAAAUUUCGAAAUCUAUUAAUGAUCUAUUAGACUUAGAGGUCGAUAGAGCGUUAGACUUAGUACGAAAUUUAGCGGCAGUUAAACCAAUGCAAGAGUCUGAAGUUAACGAUCUAGGGGGACUGAAUUCUCUUUGUGAUAGUCUGGCCCCGUCAGUGGAUAUAGAGGAUGGUGCGGGCGAGGUUUUAGUUGGUCAAGGGAUGUGUGCCCAAUCUCAUAAGGCUGAGCCUCAAUUCUCUGGUUAUAUGGACCAGGAGUUGCUGGAAAAGCCGAAGCGUCCAUGGAGACGGAAAGUGUAUCCGGUCUCUGCGAUACGUAGAAGUGCUAGAUUUAAGAUUGCCAAAAAAAAUUAUGAUGAUUAAUGAGAGGAAUUUUUUGGAAUAGCAGAGGUCUUUGAGACUUGGCUAAAAGAAGAUUUCUAGCAGAGGCUACUUUAGAGCAUCACCUUGAUUUUAUCGCAGUGAUGGAGACAGGGAGGGAUAACUUUACGUCUCAUUUUUUAAGUUCUCUAUCAGCUGGGGUGGAUUUUGACUGGCACUGUCUCCCUCCAAGAGGAAGGUCCGGUGGGAUCUUACUUGGGGUCCGUUGUGACACUUUUCAAGUGCGGGAGGUGGUGUUUGGGGAGUUUGCAGUCAAAUUCAAGAUUAGAUCUAAGGAUGACGGGUUCCAAUGGGCUCUCGUUGCCGUCUAUGGCGUAGCACAGCCAGAUCUAAAGCCUGAUUUCCUAGCAGAUCUGGUCAGGAUUUGUGAUGACAAACUACCAUUGCUGGUAGGUGGAGAUUUUAAUAUUAUUAGGCGGGCUGAUGAAAAAAGUAGUGUUAAUUUUGAUGGAAGAUGGCCUUUCAUGUUUAACACAAUUAUUGAGAGCUUAGAUAUGAGGGAGACCGCUCUAUCAGGUAGGAAAUAUACCUGGGUGAAUGCUCUACAGAAUCAGACAUUUGAAAAGUUGGAUCGUGUCUUAACUAGUGUAGAGUGGGAGCAGAAGUUCCCUCUAGUAACUGUUAGAGAACUUCAACGCGCAAUCUCGGAUCAUACUCCUCUGUUGCUGGAUUCCGGUGAGGCUAGCCAUAUAGGAAACAAACAUGGAUUCUCUUUUGAAUCAAGUUGGUUCACAAGGGAGGGGUUCAUGGAUAUGGUCGAGAGGGAAUGGAAUACAGAGGUCAGGGGCGAAACCUCUAUAGAAAGAUGGCAGUAUAAGAUUAGACAUCUUAGACAGUAUUUGAGGGGCUGGUCUAAGAAUGUGUGUGGAAUAUAUAAAGAAGAGCAAGAUAAGCUCCUCAAACUUAUAGACAAUCUAGAUCGGAAGGCUGAGAGUUGUCUUCUGGAUGCUAACGAAAGGGAUCUCAAAUUCGAGGCCGGACAGCGCUUGCGUAUUCUCCUAAGAGAGGAGGAAAUGAAAUGGGCGCUUGAGCCAAAGUGAAGGCCAUAGUUCUUGGAGACAAUAACACUAAAUUUUUCCACUUGAUUGCAAAUGGCAAGCAUAGGAAAAAGAAAAUAGUGCAGCUUGAGCAAGAUGAGGGUACAAUACUAGGUCAUGAGAAUCUAAAAUUGUACAUCUCUAACUACUACAAACAUUUAUUUGGUGCUCCUGAGCAUAGCUUUGUGACUAUGGAUGAGCAAAAAGUGGCGGAUAUUCCUCAAGUUGGAGAGGCUGACAAUGAGAUUUUAUCCGCUCCUUUCUCAGAGAAAGAGGUGUUUGACGCGAUAGGGAAUAUGAAGAAUGGAAAAGCUCCCGGUCCAGAUGGGUUUCCGGCGGAGUUUUACAAGCACUGUUGGCAUAUUAUUAAGAAUGAUCUUAUGUCAAUGUUUGCUGAUCUUUUUAGUGGUCACCUUCAACUCUUCCAUUUGAAUUUUGGUACUAUUACACUCUUACCAAAGAAGGAAGGGGCCACGCGGAUUGAACAGUUUCGUCCGAUCUGUUUGUUGAAUGUUAGCUUCAAGAUUUUCACAAAGGUGGGAACAGAUAGGUUGACUAAGAUGGCCCAUUCGGUGGUACAAUCUACGCAAACAGCUUUUAUGCCAGGACGGAAUAUCCUUGAAGGAGUCGUUGUCUUGCAUGAAACUCUUCAUGAAAUGCACUCGAAGAAACUAGAUGGGGUUAUCUUUAAAGUGGAUUUCGAAAAAGCUUACGAUAAAGUCAAAUGGUCGUUUCUCCAGCAAACCCUACGUAUGAAGGGUUUCGAUGAGCUGUGGCGUAGGCACGUCGAUUGUUUUAUAAAGAAGGGAAGUGUGGGUGUCAAAGUGAAUGAUGAUGUGGGUCAUUUUUUCCAGACACUAAAGGGUCUCCGCCAAGGAGAUCCAAUGUCUCCCAUUUUAUUUAACAUUGUUGCUGAUAUGUUGGCACUGCUGAUUAAGCGGGCCAAUGAGAAGGACCUUGUAAGGGGCUUGAUCCCUCAUCUUGUUGAGGGGGGGAGUCUCCAUUUUACAAUAUGUGGAUGACACGAUUCUUUUUUUGGAGCAUGAUCUCAGUAAAGCCAGGAACCUCAAACUUAUCCUAUGCUUAUUUGAACAGCUAUUAGGGCUGAAGAUAAAUUUUCAUAAAAGUGAAUUGUUUUGCUUUGGAAAGGCCAAGGAUGAGCAGCUCACGUAUAAUCAAUUGUUUGGUUGUGCUAGCGGGAGUUUACCUUUUACUUAUUUAGGGAUCCCAAUUCAUCACAGAAAAUUAUCAAAUAAGGAUUGGAAAUGUAUCGAGGACCGUUUCGAAAAAAGUUGAGCUGUUGGAAGGGCGAGCUCUUAUCGUAUGGAGGAAGGUUGAUACUGGUUAAUUCAGUAUUAACAAGUAUGCCUAUGUUUCUCCUAUCCUUCUUUGAAGUACCUGUUGGGGUACGGAAAAGGUUGGAUUUCAAUCGAUCACGGUUUUUCUGGCAAAGUGAUGAGAUCAAGACUAAAUACAGACUCUCGAGAUGGGACAUCAUGUGUAGACCUAAGGAUCAAGGAGGUUUAGGGAUUGAAAAUUUAGAGAUUAAAAAUAAAUGUCUACUCAAUAAAUGGCUGUCUAGAUUAUCUAUGGAGACAAAGGGGUUGUGGGUACAAAUUCUGACGAAUAAAUACCUACAAAACAAGACUUUGGCGCAGGUUACAUUGAGACCAACUGAUUCACCGUUCUGGAAGGGGGUCAUGCGGUCUAAGAAUGCUUUUUUUCUCAGGUCUAAGUUUGUUAUUGGCAAUGGCCAAUCUACUAGAUUUUGGGAGGAUACUUGGUUGGGGGAGACGCCUUUAGCCAUGCAGUAUCCGCAACUCUACCAUAUUACACAAAGGCGUCAGGCGACUGUUGCGUCAAUUUUGCGCCAGGUUCCUCUAAAUAUUCAGUUAUGUAGAGCCUUAAUAGGUAACACAUGGUCAAGCUGGCUGCAUCUAGUGAGAAGGUUGUUGGAUAUUACCCUUACUGAGAACCCUGAUAGUGUUCGUUGGAAGUUGACCACUGAUGGAGUUUUCUCGGUAAAAUCUAUGUAUUUAGAUCUCAUAGAUUCUGUGUCCAUCCCGAAGUCCUUACAUAUUUGGAAGGUCAAAGUUCCACUUAGAAUUAAGAUCUUCAUGUGGUUUGUUCGCAAGGGGGUUAUUCUAACUAAGGAUAAUUUGGUCAAACGUAAAUGAAAAGGUAAUACUAGAUGCAGUUUUUGUGAGAACGAUGAAACAAUUAAACACCUCUUUCUGGACUGUCCUAUGGCUAAACUUCUAUGGCGAACACUUCUUAUUACUUUCAACAUUAAGCCACCCAAUAGUUUAAACACGUCAUUUGGGACGUGGUUAAGAGGGGUCGAUGAUAUAACUGCUAGCCUGAUCCGAGUAGGAUCAUGUGCACUUCUGUGGGCUACAUGAAACUGUAGAAAUGACUUGGUAUUUAACAAACAUCAACAUAUUCACUUUUUGCAGGUCAUUUUCAGGGUUAUUGCCUUGAUCCGCACAUGAUCAUUACUCACUCCUGUGGAAGCCAGGGAGCCUAUGGUUACUGGGUGUGUCCGAUGGAAGAUGGUAGCUCAGGUUAUCUUCAACCGUUUUGGAUGACGGCAUAUUAAUAGGAUAGGUGUUUAGUCAUCUAGGCUUAUUUCAAUGCCUCCCGGUUGUGGCGACGACGCCGUGUAUCUUUUUGUUAUUUUCUUCAUUUACUUAUCUGAAGACUCUUUGUACUUUUCGAGGAUUUGGUUUUGAAAUAAUAUAUGGCCGUAUGCAUCCUUCGAUGCCGAGGCCGGGGCUUUGCCUCCUUUUCAAAACAAAAAAAUUUAAUUUAUCCUUUCAUUGUUAACCCCUUUUUUGGACUGCAGUUAUUCUAACUCUCUUUUAAGUAAUGUAAUAAGGCAUAUCUUUUUCCUCCAUUUCGAGACAAAGUUCGGACCUAGCACAACUGUAACAUCCGCUCUACAUCGACUCACUCUAGAGAGACUAGUCUUGGCACCUUUUGCAGAACAUGAUUAGUGUCCUGACAUGGAGUAUUUUAGCAUAUAAUGGUCAACUCUCAAGCACAUAUCACUUCAAAUUGCAUUGCUGAAAAAGAACAUACACUUGCACGUUUUUCGAACUUUCACGCAACAAUAAAGUAACUCAAUGAAAUAUUAUGAUACACUCAAAAACAAUAAUAAGCACUCAACAAAAUAUCAACAGUUUUAUUUUGAUGGACGUAGUAGGACUGUAUCUGUUGUCCACUUGGCUACUUUAUCAACAUAUUUAUUUCAACCACCCUGAUCAACAGACAAUAUCUAAGUAUGUUAUGCUAAUUGAGUUAAAAUGGAUAAUCCUUAUUUUAUAAGAUGCAAGGAGUCGAAACAUAUUGUGAUUAGUUGCAUGCUACUAGCCUACUACAACACUAUUGAUCUUAGUUAAGAAGAUUAUCUUGUGAUUAGACGAAGUCUAGAUCAUCUAGCCAAGUAUGAAAAUAUUUAAAGGAGCGUGUGGAUACCUUUUCUUCUUUAAUAAAGGAAAAAAAAUUGUGUAUAUAUGCGAGUCUGAAAACAAAGAAAAGAAAGAUGGACAGCUUAUCACAGCUUCACAUAUGUCAUCUACUCCCUGCGUUCCUAAAUAUAAGUCUUUUAAAAGAUUUUACUAAAAGACUAUAUAUGAAGCAAAAUGAAUGAAUCUACAUUUUAAAUAUAUCUAUAUACAUUCUUUAGAAAGACUUAUAUUUAGGAACGGAGGGAGUAAUAGCUAAUUGAGGGGUUCAAAUAACUUUGUUUCGCAAUAAUGAUUGAAAAUCAACCUUUUGUUGAAAUCCGAAACUCUACGUACGGUAGACCUAUUUUUAUCAAGGGAAUCAACAAAGAUGAUCUGCUACAUAAAAAUGCGCGUAUGGUCACUCACGAGCCACAAGGACGAUGCUUGAGUAGUGAUGAGUGAGGUGCACGAUGAGAUUAAAUAUUCCAACUAGUGUAACCGAAAAGUAUAGUAAGUUAGACAUCGUUCUUGGUCCACGAAAAUAGUGGCGUGAUCGAUGACAUCUUGAUGCCGGCCGGAGACUAGGAUCUGGCUGUUUGAUAGGGUACCAAUUAAUUUAUACCCUCCACUUGGCCAACUUACUUCAUCACCAGUCGAUAACUGUAUACGCAUUGUUCCAUAUUCAUGCAUGCACGUGCUUACAGCCCAAGAGCAUUGGGUUUAGCUGGUGCUGUCUGAUCCGCUUGAACUCGUAGAAAAAGGGCCUUUGGCCUGGACCCUUUAGUCCCAGCCUGUCUUUCGGUCGGAACUAAAAGCCGGCCACGUCAUCCCAAAUUAUCAGUUUAACCCGCUUGGCCACCAUUUAUAUCAUUAAAAAACCUCAAAUUUGUAGCGGGGUGAGUUUACAUGUUACCUUGGAUCGCCAUUGUUUUUUUGGCCCUGCGUGUAACGACGAUGGCCGGAGUAGGCUCGUGCAGAUUAGUCCUCCUCUUGGUAAUUAAGGAGUAUAUAUCCACUAGCUAGUGUCUGACAUUCAGAACCUCCACUCGAUGGCCAGAGUAUUUGAUAUUUAUACUCUCCUCUUGGUAAUUAAGGAGUGCAUAUCCACUAGCUAGUGAUCUAAACGUUUCUAUAUUAAUUUAUGGAGGAAAUAUUUAAUAAGGUUAUUACCCAACAUUACAGGCGCCAUCCGAUAAACCAUAUCACUUUUUUUUGCGAGGACCUAAACCAUAUUCAAAAUGCAGAAUUACUGGCACGUGGUGUAGUUUACGGAUCGAGCCUCCUCCUUCGUGGGCACCAUAGUAGUCAUGCAAGACAUCGUAGUUAUAUAGUGGUCAAGUGUGAGUUAUGAUUGCUUGUAUAUUUUUUAUGCGAUUUAUGAGUCAAUAAAAGUGCUUUUAUUGAGAAAUGUAUCUAUAUUGAUUAUUGUUGAACCUGCCAUUAAUGUAACUAUUUACACAUGUGCGGGGCCAUGCCGUCCAACACGAGGAGCUUCAAAGCGUAUGUGUGGGAGGGGAGUGCGUCGAUGCUGCAAUGACGAACUGCUCUUGGUCGGCGUCCAGCCGGUGUUCCUCACCGGCCAGACCGAGGACCAUAGGGACAUCAUCGUCACCAACCUCCACCGCCCGAGUUCAAGGGCUCCACGGUAACCUACAAGUCUCAUGAGAGGCAGAAGUUGCCGACGACCUGGUAUGUCAUCGUGGGCACCAUUGAUGACCAAGGGAACGACAUCCUGGGGGUAUCCGGUGGGGGGCACACCUUCAAGUUGCCCGACCACAACGGCUAGGCUACAUAGAGAUCGGCCAUGCCUUGAUUGAUUUCUUGAGUAAGCUCUAUGCUUUCAAUUGUAUGCAUGUUUAGUAAACAAUCCCUCCCUAGUUGUUGCUUUGUUCAUUUUCAUUGUCGAGAACUUGAGAUCAAUAGUUAGUAUUUAUAAGACGUGUUACGCUAAAAGUUGCAUGCAACAUAAUCAAUGGUUUGUUGGUUUUAUUGUUUCUCUCUAUUACGAGAUCCAUGGGCUAUAUUGUUGUUUGAUGUAUUGUAAUUCUUAACUUGGAUCUGUAAUAUUGAUCAUGGUGUACUUUUUAACUAAAGAUUGUUGAUGGUGGAAUUAGUAUGAAAGGUACAUAGUGCUGUCACACAUAGGGUGUCACUACUCCCAUUUUGGCCCAACAGAAGGAAGGGUCAUCAUUUACGGGUCACCAGACUGCGUUAGUAUAGAGGCAACAAGGUAUUUUAACCAUGCCGAACAUCAUUAUUGUGAAGAUUAAAAAUGAGGCGGCAACUUGGGUCAAUUUUUGGGGUGGAGGAUUUGAGAAACACUAUGCCCCGUGAGAAACUCCGCUAUAUUAUUUAAGUCUUUCGUUUUUAGCCUCUCUUUUUUCGGCAGCGGUUCUUCCAACUCUCCUAGUAAAUAGAAAGGGGGAAAGAAAAUCUUUUGCCUCCAUUUUGAAAAAGAAAAGGUUGAGACUAACAUCCCUUUCCAUCGACCCACUCUAGAGAGUGUCUCCAACCUUGUUUUCUUGGCCCUUUUGCAUGACAUGAGUAGUGUCCUAACAUGGACUCCUUGAUGUGUAACGCUCAGCUCUCCUGACCAAAUCGCUUAGAAUUACAUCACACGCAAAAGUUAUAUACUUUUGCAUGUUUUUCGCACGUCAAUGCAACAUUAAAAAUUUCAAUGAAACAUUAUGAUACAUUUUGAAACAAAAAAGAACUCAGCAAAACAUACUGUGGAAAUAGAAAAUUUUUGCCAACAACUAAAAAAACGCAGUCAUCAAUUUAGCCGCAACAAAAAUAAGAUGUUAGAAGUCAGAACAUCUUGUGCAUGAUUAUAUGCUAUAGGACUAUUCAUUAGAGAAACUAGUUGGGUAAAACUUUCUCCUUUUUCCGAAUCUCCUUUUUAAUGUGGGGAAAAAGCUAAUGCAUUGUGGUUUAAAGUAAAUAUUACAUCGGCCUGGGAAAUUUAAAAUGAAUCUAGACUGGACGGCUACAAAGAGAACCAUAAAAGUAUUCAAGCACGUCAGAAGAAAAGGAAAGAUAAAAUUCAAAAAAGAAAAGAGAAAAGGAAAGAUGAACAACCUAUCACUUGCCUCAUAUCUUUACCUAAUAAUAAAGAGGCUAUUGCUUCCGUCGAAAAACCCACCGCUGCCGUUUUUUAAAAAGCCCCCUGUCUUUUAGGUAAUUAAACCCGCAGUACCUUUUUAUGUGUUACGAACAUGAAAACGUUUCAUUUUUGCAGGGAGCCUCCCAUGGCAUUGGAUAAGAGAAACGCAUCUGGGCUGACGAAAACGCACGAGAGGGCUAUCGCUUCUGCCCUCAUAAUCCCACAUCGAUACUUCACAGAUAAUUUCAUCACUUUAUAUACAUGCGCCUUGGUGAUUUUACAAGAGGCAACGGAAAUCAAGAGAGGAACAAAUUCGAGAAGAAGAAAUUGAGAUGACGCAAACAGAGGUGGAGCUGCGAGACAGAGGGGGCUCGGGGCGAAGGAAAGGGUCGGGCGCCGGCGAUGCAUACGUGGAGGUGGGGGCGUCGGGGUUAGAGGAUUCAGGCAACCGGCGGGGUAAGUCUUGCCGGAGACUGGCCCCAUAGGCCGACCUCGCAGCAGCACACCAUGGGAGGUGGUCGCGAGGUGCAGAGGUGGGAGGCGGUGGAGGAGCGGAGGAGGAGGCGAGUGCGGGCGCCAUUGGAAGGGGGGAGUCGGGGAGAUUGGGGAUCCUGUGGGGCUCUCUCCCCUAGCGGCGCGAGGUGGAGGAGAGGAGGGGGGCUGGGGAUCGGGCUAGGUUAGGGGAUUUAGGAGUGGGUAAGGCUAUGCCUUGGCACGCCUAAUGGGUUGUGCACUACUACUCAUCUCUCUUUCCUUUAAUUUCUUUAUCUAAAUUCUUUAAUUAAAAAUAUGUGGUAUUAUUUUUUUUCCGUUGCAACGCACGGGUCCUUUUGCUAGUAUCAUCUAACAAAUCGAGGGGUUCGCAUAGAUCUGCUUCGCCACAUAAUAAUAUAAUCAUGACAAAAGGCUACCUUCUGGUGAAAGCAGAAGCUCUGCAAUAAAGCUGCAAUCGUAGACCUAUUUUAUGAAGGGAACCAACAAAUCGAGCUGCACAAUCCAAUUAAAUACUAAUUCCUCCGUUCCUAAAUAUAAGAUUUUUUAAAGAUUAUAUUAUGAACUACAUAAAAAGAAAAAUGAAUGAAUCUAUAUUUUAAAAUAUGUUUAUAUACAUUUGUAUGUAGUUCAUAGUUAAAUCUAUAAAAGGUCUUAUAUUUAAAAACAGAGGGAGUAUAAGUACUGAGUAAGUUUGACAUUUGUUCUUGGUCCAACAAAACAGUCGUGUGACCCAUGACGAAGCGGCGAUGCCGGAGUUGGAUCUCACUGUCUGAUAUUUAUCGAUUUGUGCCCUCCACUUGGCCAGCUUAAUUGAUCACCAGUCUCUUUCAUUGACAAUUAGUGCUGCUCAUACACGUGCGUUGCAUACAGAUGAUAUAUUGGGUUUAGGUACGGCUGUCUGAUCCACUUGGCCACCUUCUCACUAGAAAGCUCAAGUUUGCAGCGACGAGUUUGCAUGUUACUACAUUGGAUCGCCGUUGUUUAGCCCUGCGUGUGUGAUGAGGGGCGGAGACCCGGAGCAGACCCGUGCAGAUUCGUAUUCCCUUGGUUAUGUUUUAUUCUGUAUAUUAGGUUUGUAUAAUGUAAAACCUAAAUUUGCUUCGCCACAUAAUAUAAAAUAAUAUAAUCAUGACAAAGGCUACCUUCUGGUGAAAGCAGAAGCUCUGCAAUCAAGCUGCAAUCGUAGACCUAUUUUAUGGAGGGAACCAACAAAUCGAGCUGCACAAUCAAAUUAAAUACUACUCCCUCCCUUUUUAAAUAUAAAAACUUUUAAAAAUUAUACUAUGAACUAUAUAAGAAACGGAAUGAGUGAAUCAAUACUCUAAAAUACUCCCUCCGUUCUAAAAUAGGUGUCUUAACCUUAAUACAAUUUUGUACUAGAUCUAGUACAAAGUUGAGACAAUUAUUUUAAGACAGAGAGAGUAUGUCUAUAUAUAUUUAUAUGUAGUUUAUGUUGGCUUUGGAUCCGUAGAUUAAUUCACCCAGUAGCUACCACAUACGUGCAAGCUAGCCUCUAAGCUAGCAAGCAGGCACACAAGUGGAUGGAUAUCCAAUUCGUAGAAAUAGAACGACGUACGACGAGCUAGCUAACUGAUUCGAUCGUCUUGACUGCUCGGAAUGUAACUCGUUGAAAAACUGAUCGAUGGAUUGCUAACAGGCUCGUAUCGAGCCUGGUACUUUUUUAUUGCGUUUUGAUCUCUGGUGUUACAAGCAACAUCUCUAGGAUGCCUUUUAUACACAUCCACAAGGAACUAUGAAAAUAGACUAGGACUAGGUAUCCUAAUACUACUAGAACUCGGUUUGAUUUUCUUUCCUAAUCCUAUGUGUACAAGGCAACGUGAUUAACUCACAUUCACCCCCUAAUCACGAUGUCCUUACUUCCGACCUGGGUCCCAAACACGAUUGCUGCUUCUCAUAAAUGUUAUCAUCGACAUGGCCUUUGUCGUCCCUUGCAACAUUUUAUGGACCGUCUUUACUGUCGUCGGCUCGUCCGUAGCUCGAUGACAACACUCCUUUUUGGUCGUGUCUUCAAUCUUCAUCUCUUCUUCGGUGCUUUGUAGACUGUCCUUCGGAUCAUCGAGGGUACAUCUUUUGAACCUGAGCGUGACCAUACUUUGGUCUAACUUUGAAUUUCAAGCUCUUGGCGCUUGCAUCAGCCCGUAACUUUGAACCACAAGGAAGAAGUACUUCUUUCCUCCGUGAGUUGCUGGGGUGAUAGGGCCACAUAGAUCACCAUGGAGCAGCUAGAGUGCAUCACUUGCACGAUAGGUAGACUGAGCAGGGAACGGCCUGCGGUGCUGUUUUCCAACCAAGCACCCGUCACAUACUCGAUCAACAUGGUCGAUAACUGGCAUCCCGGAUACCAUCUCCAUCUUUGACAUCUUCUUCAAGGCGUAGAAGUUAACAUGUCCGAAUCAUCAUCACUCUUGGCGAGCCAACACUCCAGUUGAGAUUGAUCAAGGUUGAGGAUAUAGAGCCUGUUCCGUGUGCGAGUAACACGAGCUAGCACGUUUCGGAGGUUGUCGAAGAUCGUCAUUACUCCGUUAUCGAUACCCACCUUGCAUCCAUUCUCGUCAAGCUUCCCAAUAAAGAUGAUGUUGUUGUGAAGCCGUGGGAUGUAGUACACUCCGGUAAGUAUGCGAUGUUCGCCUGUGAGACCCUCGAAGAGGACAGAUCCUUGCCCACAAAUCUCCACAUUUGAACCAUCACCGAACUUGACUGAGCCUUCAACAUCGUAUUCCAGCUCGAGGAAUUUCUCCUUGCACCCCGUCAUGUGGUUACUGGCACCCGUGUCGAGAUACCACAACACAUUCUGAUCACCAGCUAACUUCGGUGUCACUUUGUUUUCAUGAAGUAGCACCUUCCGGCUUGGUUUCACAACCACCGUUUCAGCGAGAUCACAAACUUCGGCCAUCAGAAGACCUGGACCUUCGUCUUCCUCCUUUGCCAAAUUUGCCUUGAUCUCUCGCUUGUCAUGCUCCGGACAAUCCUUUGCAAAGUGACCCAUCUCGUUGCAGUUAUAGCACUUGACCUCGGACAUAUCCAAGUUCCGUUGCUUCCGCCCUUUAGAUCGGUCAGCCUUACCACGACCUUGUAGCUUGCCUUUUCCUUUGCCUUCUCCGGUUUGUCCGCCGCGCGUUGUGCUGCUUGAGCCUUCGUUGCCAUCACACCUUCCUUUGCUACUUGGGGACUCCCAAUCUGCACGUGAGUACAUGAGUUGGUCACUACCUCCUCCGUUGCCUUCCCGACAACUACGAGAAUUCUCUUCCCACGUCCGCAGGCGUCCGAUCGCCUCCGUUAUGGUCAUGUCGUCGAUGUCGUAAAGCUGCUCGAGCGUGCCAAUGAUGUACGUGAAUUUUUUAGUCACCGAACUGAAAAAUUUCUCCACAAUCUCGGUCUCCUCGAGCUUUGCACCAAGCGCGCGGAUCUCUCCCACCAAAGUAGUAAGACGCAUGGCAUAGUCGUUCACCGAUUCAGUUUUCUCCAUCUGCAACUUGUGAAAUUGGCGCUUCAGCACUUGUGCCCGAGCCUUGGUGACGCGAUCUUCUCCGAUCCUCAUCUCGUUGAGUGCGUUCCACGCCUCUCUUGCCGUCUCGAACUCCACCAAUGUCAUCAGCACGGAAUCCGGCACAGACUGGGCUAUGGCGGCCAUGGCACCUUCGUCGCGCUCCUCGUCGACGUCGUCGUCCGUGAUGGCCUCCCACACUCGAAGAGAUCGGAGAAUAAUCUUCAUCUUCACCGCCCACACGUCAUAGUUGGCAUCGGUGAGCAUCGGGUACUGGAUGGGGAUGUUGCGAUGCGCCUGGACGUUGGCGCUGCUCGUUCCUCCAUCACUCGUUGCUGACUUGUCGUCCUUCUUCACCUUGUCGUCGUUCUUGUUCGCCUUGGCACCGCCUUUGCCGGAUUUGACCGACUCAGCGUCGCUGUCCGUCAUCGUAGAUCGUAGAUCGUCGAGGCUCUGAUACCAAUUGUUGGCUCUGGAUCUGUAGAUCAAUUCACCCAGCAGCUACCACGUACGUGCAAGCUAGCCUCUAAGCUAGCAAGCAGGCACACAGGUGGAUGGAUAUCCAAUAGAACGACGACGAGCUAGCUGACUGAUUCGAUCGUCUUGACUGCUUGGAACGUAACUCGGUGAAAAACUGAUCGAUGGAUUGCUAACAGGCUCGUAUCGAGCCUGGUACUUUUUGUAUUGCGUUUUGAUCUCUGGUGUUAUAAGCAACAUCCCUAGGGUGUCUUUUAUACACAUCCACAAGGGACUAUGAAAAUAGACUAGGACUAGGUAUCCUAAUACUACUAGGACUCGGUUUGACUAUCUUUCUUAAUCCUAUGUGUACAAGGCAACGUGAUUAACUCACAGUUCAUAGUUGAAUCUUUAAAAGGGCUUAUAUUUAAGAACGAAGGGAGUAUAAGUAGUGAGUAAGUUUGGGACACGCCGUUUUGGCUCCCGGACUCAGAUGAGCCCGAGCGUAAACAGUACGCCAGUUUGGGGUGCAAAAAAUGUUCCAAAAAAUCAAAAAAAAUUGUGAUGCAAGAUGCUCCUAUGUGUGAACUCUCUGUAAAAUUUUGUGAAGUUUGGACAUACGAGGAGCUCACUGCAAAAAAGACGAAAUUCAGAUGUGUGAGAAACUUUUGAAAAUCACACUAUUCAUGCCUGAUUUUGUCUUUUUUGCUGCAAACUCUUCAAAUGUCCAAACUUCAUAAAAUUUUACAGAGUUCACACAUCGAAGCAUCUUGCAUCAUAAAAAAAUAUUUUUUUUAAACUUUUUUGUAUUCCAAACCGUUGUACUGUUCACCGGGCUCAUACGAGCCCGGGCUCACAGAUGGAUUACCGGUAAGUUUGACAUUUGUUCUUGGUCCAACAAAACAAUGGUGUGAUCGAUGACCAAGCGGCGAUGCCGGAGUUGGAUCUCGCUGUGUGAUAUUUAUCGAUUUGUGCCCUCCACUUGGCCAGCUUAAUUGAUCGCCAGUCUCCUUCAUUGACAAUUAGUGCUGCUCAUACACAUGCGUUGCAUACAAAUGAUAUAUUGGGUUUAGGUACGGCUGUCUGAUCCACCUGGCCACCUUCUCACUAGAAAAGCUCAAGUUUGCAGCGACGAGUUUGCAUGUUACUACUCCCUGUGUACCGAAAUAUAAGACCUUUAAGAAAAAUUCCGACCAGAUGAAAAUGUGGACAAUUGACCAGGUUACCCCCCACCUCCGGCAGCUCGCUAAUUUCAAAUCAACCCAGAUCCAGUCGCCCCCCACCUCCGGCCAGCUCGCUAAUAACCCAGAUCUCACUACUCUGCUUGUCCGCUCCCUCCUCUGCCCCAGCUUGUCCGCUCCCUCCUCUGCCCCAGCUUGUGCGGCCCCUCCUCUGCCCCUACCUCCUCUGCCCAGCUCGUCUGCUAGCUACCAGCAGCUUCUCCAGUAGCCAGCGGCAGCAGCUCCUCCGGCAGCUAGCAGUAGAUCCAGCAGCUCCUCCACCAGCCAAUAGGAACUCCAGCAGCUCCUCCACCAGCUAGCACGAGCUCCAGCAGCUCCUCCACCAGACACCAGCACCAGCUCAUCCACCAGCCAGCGGCAGCCCCUCUGUCUGCCGGCAGAAGCAGCUCUUCCGCCUCUGCACUCCCAGCUGCCUCAACGAGGUCCUCUCCCAGUGAUGCACCCAUCGCCCAACAGAUCGCCGGAGGUUUUUCUUUUGAUCCAGGGUGCAGAUCGCCACAGGAGGUCCUAGUGGUGUUGGAUCCUGCUUAUCCCGUCUCCUGCAAACCAAAAAAGCAGGACAAUUAGAGGGUAUUUAUCACAACUUAGCAACAGUUGAACAGAAAACAGUUUAACAACAGCAGCAAAAAUUUUAGCGAGAUCAACAACAUCAGUAGCAGCAUCAAGACAUAGCAACAAUAGCAGCAAUAGGGAGACAUAGAAGUAGCGACAUGGAGUGGCAGCAGGAGUUCAUCAAAAUCAAUAGGGAGUAGCAGCAGCAGGAGUUCAUCACAAUCAAAAUCAACAGGGAGUGGCAACAACAUGGAAUUUGACCUCAACUGUACUCCGCCCGAAGAAGAUGAGAUCAGUCAAAAUGAGAUCAACAUGGAGGACUCACAGGGAGGCAAUGAUCAUGUUGAAGAUGAGAUCAACAUGGAGGACUCACAGAGAGGCAAUGAUCCUGGUGAACAUGAUAUGAACAUGGAGCAAAUAAGGGGAGGCAAUGAUCCCCACGAAGAUGAUAACAGUAAGCACAAUAUACUCAUUUAGCAGUAACAGUGUCUCAUUUACCAAGUUUUUGAAAAUGAACAGCAAGUCUAGUUUCUGAAGAUGAACAGUAACUCCACUUUCUAGAAAUAAACAGUAAUAGUAACUCAUUUGAUCAUUUGAACAUGUGACCAUUUAAAUAUUUUAUCAAUUUAUCAUUUGAUAAUUUGAGUAGGACUAAUAUUUUUUCAUUGUUGUGUUUCUUGUUGCAGUUCUUGAGCAAGGAGUUAGAAAGAGGAAAACUCUGAGUGACCAACAAAAAUAUGCUGCUUAUGUGGCAUUGCACAUAUUAUGUAUGAGUAGAGGUGGAAAGUUCAAGAUAACGGAUAAGAAAAACCUUGCACAUUUUUUUAAUGUAGAAUUGAGGAGUAUACAAAGAGUUUGGCAGAAGGCGAUGAAGCAAAUUUCAGAAGGUUUCGAGGUGGAUGUUUCCAACCAGAAAAAAGGAAAUGUGGAAGAAAACCAAAGGACAUCAACCUAGAGAAAAUCCCUACAAUACCACUCAAUAGUAGGUCUACUAUCAGAUCAUUAGCCUGGCAACUGGGAUGUAGCCCUACCACUCUCCACAGGAAUUCAAAAUGAAGUUGAUAAAGAGGCAUACAAACUGUGUCAAGCCAGCUCUAAAGGAAAAGAAUAAGAAGGAUAGAAUGAAAUUUUGCUUGUCAAUGCUUGAUGAGGCAACAACAAAAACUGCAAGGCCUAAGUUCAAGACUAUGCAUAAUGUUGUACAUAUUGAUGAGAAGUGGUUUACGAUGACCAAGAAGAAUAAAACUUAUUAUCUGCUGGAUGGGGAGGAAGAGCCUACAAGGCCUAUACAUGGCAACUGUAUUGGCAAGGUUAUGUUCUUGACGGGCGUAGCUAGGCCACGGUGGGAUAGUGAAGGAAAUGUGACCUUCUCUGGAAAAACCGAUGAACUCACGAUAAACUGCGUGCGCUCUUUGUCCCAGUUUCAGUUCCCUUGUUCUUGCUUUUCUAUAUCCCGAUGAACUCACGAAUCCAUGAUCCAUGGUCAAUCCCCAAUAUAUAUACUCAAGCAAUAUACUCUCUCAGCAGUAUAUAAUCAAUCAUACAGGAAAGAGUAUCACUCUCUCAGCAGAAUACAUACUCACGAAUCCAUGGUCAAUAGCAGCAUAUACUCCGUGUGGGGAUUAGUCUAGCUCGUAAGCCACGGGUCCAAAUCAAGCAAUAUAUCUACACUAGAAUCUGUAGCAGAGUACACAUCUGACAAAACCGAGAGAUGUGGAGAGGAAGGGGGUAAGAGACGGAAGGGUACCUGGGUGAGGUCGCUGAGGUGGAAGCAGCCGGUGGAGCGGUCGAGGUCGCCGCUAGGGUGUCGCCGGUGCACUGGAGCUCUGCCAACUCGUCCCCAACUCGACGCCCAGCUCGACGCCCAGUCCGGCGCCCAGCUCGAUGCCCAGGUCGACGCCGUCAUUGCUCGGGCUCGGCUUCAGCGCCUCCUUCACCCUGUCCUUGCUCGCCCAGCUCGUCGGCUUCUUGGUCUCGACGAGGCUCCCGCUGAAGUACUCCACCCCCGCCGCCGCAUAGACGAGCAACCCAACUGAGGGCGCCCGCAGCUCCCGCUGAAGUGAUCUGCUAUGUCCAGCACCACUCCGUCAUCCAUAUCCAACAUCGGCGCCCACACCAGCUCUGUCGAUGCAAAACAAACACAUUUUUGACCUUUGAGUGGGAAAGGAAGGAGAGGAAGCACGCAGUGGGAAAGGAAGGAGACAACACACGCGGUGGGCUGUGGGAGGAAGAACGCGGUGGGCUGUAGGAGGAAGAACGGUGGGCUACGGUGGCCGGCGACGACGUAGAGAGGCGACGAGGGAGGGGAAUGAGAGGGUGUGAGAUCUGGGCAGCGAGUGGAUGAGAAUGGGCAGGUGGGGGCAUUUUCGGAAACUCGGAAAGUUUCGUAGUGUCGCGAGAUUUACACUAGAAUCGCUAAAACGUCUUAUAUUUCGGUACAGAGGGAGUACAUUGGAGCAGACCUGUGCAGAUUCGUACUCCCUUCGUUUUUAUUUAUUCUGUAUAUCAGGUUUAUAUAAUGUCAAACCUAAAUCCUUUUAACAAAUUUGUAGAAAAAUAUAUCAACAUAAUCCCUUCAUUUCACAAUUUAGCGCUCGUUCGUGUGCUUUUCGAGAUCUAAGUUUGACCAUACCUUUAAACAAGAAGACCGAUUGCUAUGGGAGCAAAAAUUGAAUCACUGAAUUUGUAUUGAAAUUAAAUACUGAAUUUGUAUCGAAAAUAUAAAUUCAUUGGUAUAAUUUCUGUUGCCACCGCAGUCGGUCUCGUUGGUGAAAUUUAUGGUCAAACUUAGACCUCAAAAAACGCGAGCGCACUACAUUGUGGAACGGAGGGAGUAUACACCAUCAAAUCAAUAUCAUUGGAUUCAUCAUUUCAUAUAUUUUCACAUCAUAUAAAUUUAUUAUUGUAAAUGUUCAUAUCGUUUUCUACAAAUUUCAUCAUACUUUAGAUAGUUUGACUUCAGACAAAACUAAUAUGAGGAGUAAAUAAAAUCAGAGGGGUACCACUCCUAGUAAUUAAUGUGUAUAUCCACUAGCUGCUGAUUGACAUUCAAAUUCUCCACUUGACGAUGGCCAGAGUAUCUGAUAUUCAAACUCUCCACUUGGCCACCUUAUUUCUUCUCCCCAAAUGAGCUAUGAACUGCUCAUUCAUCCAACAUUAAAAUCACUGUGAUGAAACUCUACUCUUUCAGUUUCAUAAUUAGUGCAUAUAGUUUUUCCCCAAAAAACUAAACUUUGACAAAGAUUAUAAAUAAAAAGUCUAUAUCUAGCACAUUGAAUACAUACCAAUAGAUUCGUCAAAAAUAUUUGCAUAUAUUAUAUGAUGGUAUUGUGGAUAUACAUAGAGUUAUCUAUAAACUUGGUCAGAUUUUACAAUGUUUGACUUUUCUAUAAAACCAAUAUGCACUACACUAGGGGAUGGAGGGAGUAUCGUAUGAAAUAUUAUGUGGAAUUAUUCCGUUUCAGACAAUGUUUGGUAUCAAACACAACAGGUACAAUGUUCUAUAGUUUCUCCAAUGUGCAGAAUUAUUAGUUGAAUUGGCAAUUAUUUACAGGAGGGGAGUGCGCUGGUGUGACCGAAAACUAAGUGGAUCGAUGUAUAACAAGCUUCUUUUGGUCGGCAUCAAGACGGUGUUCCUCAUUGUCCGAAUCGAGGACCGGAGUGCAGUAAAUUUUACCAAUCUAUGAUGCGCUCUGGGUGGAUGAAACUGCUCCAAAAGUUGCCCGAGUUCAACGACUCUGUGGUGACCUACGAAUCCGGCGAGCGGCAGAAGUUGCAAGACGUCAGGUAUGAUAUCGUAGGCAACAAUAGUGACCAGUGGAGUGACAUCCUCGACACACCCAAGGGCACCCGCACCUUUAAGCUUCCCUACCCGAUGUACUAAAUCGGCUAGGUUGAAUGCUAGCUAAUCGUCCACGAAUAAGCUCCAUGUUGUUCACUAUCCAUGCUUUGUGAUUACCUUUUUUCCGGGCAUGCUUCCUCAAUACUAAUCCACUAUUACUGCUAGUUUUCUAAUUUCUAUUGAGAAAUCUAUUGCUGCUUGGUUAAAUUCCAUAGUUGGGACCUUGAGUCAGUUACUAGUAUUAAUAAGGUAUGCUACAAAGAAAUUGCAUCUUGCAUAAUCAAUGAAUCGAUGCUCCAUUUUUCCUUGAUUAUAUAAUAUAUGUAGUUUCUAUUUUACACUUUGAUUUAUUUAUUUUUUACUUUUAAUAUUUCCUUUUUUUUCAUUUUCUAGUUUUAUGUUUUAUUUUUUUAUUUGAUCUCCCUUAUGUAUUUAUUUUCUUAUUUUAUUCUUUAGAAUGCUUUCUAUUUGUAAAAAAUAAUGAAUUUUUCCAUACCCUAAUAGUUAAAAACAAUUCCGGGAUAUUAAAAUUACGAUGAACAAGGUCCUAAUAUACGUCGAGAUUUUCCCAAAUACCUGAUGAAUAGUUUUUAUAUGUUUAAGUACAUUUAUAAUUUUGUAAUUACACCAUCAAAUUUAAAUAUAUUUUAAAUAUUUGUUGAAUGCACAAAAAGCAUUUACUAAAUAAUUCGGAACAUUUGCUAUUACAUUGUGAACAUUUCUAGAAUACACAUUGAACAGUUUCCAAACCAUGAUGACUUUUCUAAAUAUGCAUUAUAAAAUUUUCAGUUACACGAACUAAACUGUUUUACCCUGAAUUAUUAUUAUUUUUAAAUUUGUUUUUUCUUAGAAUUAUAAAUAAAAUUAAAUUGAAGUGUUUCAGAGUAUAAAGGACAGAACGGGUAAAAACAAUGACAGAAAAAAUAAAAAUUGCAUUGGGUCGGGUCAUUGUGGAAUACUAUGGGCGAGCCCAAAGGAGUGUUCAUUACUGGUGAAUUAUAGUAGCAACGUGAGGGAAAGUGUGCUUCUCAGCCCGAGCUCAAAUGAGCUCUGGUGAACAGUAAAAUCCAAAAAUAAUUAAAAAAAUAUGAAAUUGUUUGGUGAAAGAAAUUGAAAAUAGUCGUAACUGCCUCCAAAAUUGUAUUAUGAAAUAACAUUUAUUGAAGCCAUGGAGAAAACAAAAUCGAUACUCCAAAAUGCUUUUGAAAUUAGUAUUUUCAGAGUAUCGAUUUUGUUUUUUUGCCACAUGUCACACAAAUGUGAUUUUCUGAUGAAAUCUUGCAAGAUAUUAGAACUUUUGCCAAUGUUUAUCACAAAAAAAAAUAGAUUUUUCUGGAUUUUUUUAAUUUAGUUUUGAUUUUACUGUUCAUCAAAGCUCAUUUGAGCUCGGGCUGAGAAACUCCACAUCCCAACGUGAGCGCCUAUUUGGUGUCGUGCUCAUUUCUGGUAGCCGACAAACUGAGUGGUUUUGUGCGUGACGUAAAAGACACAAAACAAUCAGGGCACUUCGAAGGAAUCAACGUUGUGUCCUUUCACAGGGAAUGCGUGAUGCUAGUUGCUGGCCACUCGUGCCAACAAUUUUUGCUAAUAGAAACACAACAACAAUGUGCAGGAAAUUACUGCAGCGGUGAAUUCCAAAUAUUUUCUAAAGUACACAAAUAUUUCAUCAAAUCUGAACGUUUUUUGAAAAAUCACAGUAUUUUUAAGAUGCCCAAUAUUUUUUUUAACUUUUCAGAAUAUUUUAAAUUUCAAACUUUUUUUUUAAAUUGCCAAACAUGUUUUGAAUUUGUGGACAAAACUUUUGAACAGAGAAACAGUUUUACAACAUCUGAAACCUUUUUUGGAACGCAAUAAGUUUUUCCAAAUUUCCAAGCAUUUACAGAAAAUGGAACAUAUAUUGACCAUUUCCAAACAUUUUUCAAAAACAUGAAUACUUUUUGAUUUAUGAACAUCAUUUCAAAACAGGAACAUUUUUUGAUAAUUCUGAACUAUGUUAGAAAAUGCGAACAAUUUUUGGACGUUUGUUGAGAACCCAAUCAUUUUUAGAAGAAAAACAAUUAUUAAAGUUUCAGACAUUUUUUUACUUGUGAAGUAAUGACCAAAGAAAACCAUAAAAUGUAAAACAACCGAAAAUAAGGAAAAAAGGAAAGAAAAAGUUGAAAAAAAUAAAAAUAUGAAUAAUAAAAAAUAAUAAAUUCUGGAAAGCAGUGAAAAAUAAAUCACAAAACGGAGACCAGUUUAUACGUCCUGCUGCUAUAUGACAAAGUAAAAAAUCUAAAAAGAAAAUCCCACAACAAAAGCUAUUUGACAUACCGAGCGUCAUAUAGAAAAUUCAAACAACAACCACCACAGAACGCUGAUACAGAUGACGGGCAGGUGGAUGUUUCUCAGAAUCAGAUUUUGAAGAAUCAUGAGGCGAAAAGAACUGGUGCCUGCAAUCGGCCGUGGCAUGUACACAGGUGCUAGUAAUGAUAUAAAUCACGGAUAUUGAUUUUGAAGGUCGAGCUCCAUGGAGGUCUUUGAAUGCAAAAUUCAAAAUUCAUGAAAAUAUUUUUUUUUUAUAUUUCGAAAAAUUCCGUAACAAAUACAGAGAUAGAUGAAGGCAUAAUACACAAGUGUGUAAAUUUUUAGGACCAAAUACGUUGAAAUAAGGCUGUACAAAAAAGGCAAAUCUGAGGUUGUUUAACACAUGAUACUAUUCAUCCUCUCGGAACAUGAUUUUAUAUUUUUAUACAGGUUGCAUUUCAACGUAUUUCAUCCUUGUUUAGUUUUAUAAUUGUUUUCAAAAAAUCUGAGGAUGAGGCAUAUGUCUCACAUCCUUGUUUAGUUGUAUAAUUGUUGUAAGAUUUUUUUUUUAAUUUUGAACUUUUCAAAAAAUCGGCCUCGGCCAAAACGCCUUUCUCUAUAAAUCGUGAUUUGUAUACUGGUAAGAAGAAUGAAGCAAUGCAUAUUCAACUAAACAAACUACAUAUUGUCUUGAAUUCACUCAUUUGGAAUCUAGCUAGAAAGGGUGCUUUUUAGGUGCCCAGAUUUUUUAAUUUUUUUGAGGGAAGUGACGAGGUUCUUGGGAAGAAAAGAUUUAACAGAUUCAUUGGUUUUCACAAAGAGAGCAAAUCAAUAUGAGCGCAGAAGCAAUCGAGUUUUGCCAUUAUUAAGCAACAACAUGACAUACAUGAUACAACUAGAGGUACAUAUAGCUAAAUUAGCGGAAGCCCUUUGUAUUGGUACUGCUCGCCGAGCUCCGCGAGCAGAUCGUUUUCCGCCUUGAGUAUGUCGCCCAUGUUGUCCAGCAGGAGGUACUUGUCCAGCGAGAAGCCCGACUCCGGCGAGAUGAGCGCCGCGACGUUUCUCAGGAACUCCUCGUCUAAUGGGGCAAGGGGCUCCCACUUUUGUCCCGACGUCAGCAGCGGCUUCUGAGGUCGCCGCCUCACGACCUUCAUUUUCUUCUUCUUCAUCGUCAUCCUCCUCUUCUCCCCUCUUGCGGGCGUCGGCGACUUCGCCCCCGCCUCCGUGUUCUCACACGAUGAACUCGCCAUGAUUCUUCUCCCGUCCUUCUUCCGCUGAGAAGAUUGGUCUGCUCUGCUGGUUUCGCAGACUUGCGUGCUCGCCGGCACCGGUAUAAAUACAGCAAAAAUAAGAGAUCGAUGAUUCAUUUCUUGGCUAGGGGAGCAGUUCGUUGUAUCCGACUCGUAUUCAGUCCACGGUUCCGGUUCCUACUCCCGCAUGGUCGACGCAUCGGUUGGGAUCCUAAUUGGGACGGCCCAAUGGUAGGUUAUUUUAUAGUAUUUUUAUGUAUAUUGUCUAUAAGGACGUUACUGCAUCAAAAAGAAAAGUAUAAUGGCUCUGCAUCUAGUCUAGUUGCUGAAGCGUGUGCGUCGAACAGCUUCCCCAUCGCUUAGUGACAGUUCAUGAAAUCGUGUGCGAUGACCAUUUCUAUGGAUUUUUUUUGCAUGAUAAUAUGUGUCUCAUUUAUAUCAUAAUGAAAAUAAUACAAGACCAUUGUUGUGGAUUAUAACAACACAUAUACACAGCCAAAUACAAACCCUACGGUCUUGGUCACAAUAUAGUGGUACAGGUGUCCAUUAGGACAUAUGUCCGUGUGUUGCAACGGAAAAAAAAUUAAUUUGUAUUUGCAAGCACAACACGUCAUGCUCCGCUACGAAAGAACGCUAGUUACCACAUGACCAAAACGACCAUCGAUGCAUCACUACAUCCAGAGAGUGUCACCACCUGCAGGGAGGCGCACGUCAAAGCCUUCAACAAACGCGGGGACUAUGUUACUCCCUUUGUCAGACAUUAUUAGGCUGGUGGACCACUUAGCCUCAGCCGGACAUUAAUCAUGAAGUGAGCCUUAGCGCAGAUGGUAAAGAUAUCUUCAACGUGACGAUGUGGCGUUGUGGCUCCCUGGCCCAGAUCUUCCCACCAAUGAAUAGUAAAAUCGACAAAAAAUAGAAAAAAUGAUUUUUUUUUUUGGAGUGCAAGAUGUUCCUUUGGGUGAUGUCAAAAACUGCUUGGAGCUGAUUUUUAUUUUUUUUUGCCAGACGCUCCUCGAAUGUCCAAAUACCUCGAAAUUUUGCAGACAUUUUAGCAUCUUAUGAGCCAAAAAGGAUUCAGAUUUUUUUGAUAUUGUGCUUUUCACCGGAUGCAGAUGAGCCGGGGACCAUUUUGAUUAUUAUUAUGGCUAAUCUAGUUUAAAUGUGUCAUUGUUCAUGUAGCCCACAAUCAUUUUUUCUUUUAUUGUUUGAACACACCACGUCCUUCAUUUCUUUUAAAGGUUUCCUUGCAUGUCUGCUCGUCGUGCAGUUCAUUCCUUUUAAUUGUCAUUCCUUUUAAUUGUCCGCUUUUAGCAUCCAUUUUUAACUGUCUUGCUGAUAUUCCAAGCAAACCGCAAGGUAUAUAAACCGGUAGGGAUCUAUCUAAAGAGGCAAGGUGGGUUUAUUUAACAUAAAAUAUUGAUGUCGAGUUAUUUUUAAAAAAACAGCCUCAACUUUAUUAAUUAGAGAUAAUUGUUACAUCGUCUAUUAAAAAAGAUACAAUAUUUUCCAAAGGCUCCUCAAUCCACUCACUCGUAUCAGAACUCUUUGCUAAUCUAGCAAGCUCAUGUGCUACUUCGUUCGCUUCUAGUAAAAAAAAUUCAGAAGCCAUAGAAAAACAAUCCUCAAAGGUUGCAGCCGCCGCUCCCGCAUAGUACCCUCCCUUGUUCAUUGUUUCAAUUACUUCCGAGAAUAUUGAUGUAGAGUUGGUUAGUGCAGUUGCCUUACCCUGGACAUGGAGUAUUGAGUUUAAUCUUCCAUAAAUACAUAUUUUUGUACACGUUGUUCGUGGCCCAUGGCAGACGGCCCAAUAUUGUAGCGAAGCCCAGCAGUGCAGCAACCUGACAUGGUACGAUAGAUGGUGAGGUGUAUGCGUGCUAGCAACGUAAGAAAACGGCCAGGGAGAGGCAAUGUAUGUACAAUAUUUUUAACCAUGGAUUCAAGCUCGUAAAAUUUUGAGACUUUUCCAUAAAACUGUAUGACAGACUAAGAAUACAUAUUUUCUUAAUUAGUAGGUAUAGAUGCGGCAAGUGGAUUGUUUCCUGGUUUUGGGAAGUUUCCAUAAGCUUUUCAGACGGUUUUUCAUUUUUUCUAUUUUGGGGUUUUCCUGUACCAAUCUUGUCUAUUUUUUAUUUUCUACUUAUUUUCAUUUUGCUUUAUUGCAUAUUCUUUUACUUUUUUUCAUUUUCCUUUUUCUAUUUAAUUUUGGCAAAACACGAAUUGUUUCAAUUUUAUGAUACUUUUUUUAAUUGAGGAACUCCUUUUCGAACUCGUUUUUUCAAGUUCAUCAUUAUUAUUUUUUAAAAUUAUCACCUUUUUAAAAAAUAUAUGAACUAUUUUUAAUGUUUGUGAACGCUGUCUCAAAAUUGAUGAACUUUUUUCCUAAAUGCUGAAGUUUAUUUUAAAACUGAUGAACUUAUUUUAAUAUUUGAUGAUCUAAUUUUAAAACCGGAGAAUGUUUUUGCAAAAUAGACGAACUGUUUUUCUAGCAUAUGUACCUUUUGAAAAUUCAUGAACUUUUUUUCAAUUUUUGGGCUUUUUUUAAAAGUUGAUGAGCUUUAUUCAAAAUCGUGAAAUAUUUUCCAUCUAUGUGCAACCUCUUUUUUCAAAAUCAUGAACAUUUUCGAAUUGAUGAACUAUUAACAGAGAUUAUACGCAUGACCUUUUUUGAAUUCGCAAACUUUUUGUUGAAAUAUCUGCAUUCUAUUUGAUUUUCUGAUUAUUAUUUUCAAGCUAGCGAGCGUGCUCGUGGGCUCACCCAUGCUAGCAAUGGUGCGAGCUGGCACUGGCGCAAAACGCGUCAAUUAGGAAGAGCAACUAAUUAAGGAGUACUCGUCCGAGAGCCUCUCGAAGGGUCCAUUGCCACGUGUCGUACUCUUGGUGUUUCCUUUGGAUUUUUUUCUAUACAUAUUUAUGUCUGGAAUUUUGGCUUUAAGAUGAUUUUGUUUUCCGGGUUUUUUUGGCUUUUCCGUUUACCCCCGAUUUUUCUUACAAUUUAGACCCAAAAAUAAGAUUUUAAAGAAAAAUCACAAAAAAAUGCAUUUUCUCUUUCUUUUUUCCUACCCUGAGAGACAUGGAUUUGCUUCUCUUAGAGGCACAUGUGCCUCCUGAAAAAGCAAAAAAAAUGUUUUUUCCUUCCGCGAGGCAAGGUCGUGCCUCUCAGAAAAGAAAAAAGAUCCAUUUUUCCUUUCACGGAAGUACGGAUUUGCUUCCCUGAAAGGCCUAGUCGUGCAUCUUGAAAAAGGAAAAAUGCAUGUUCUCAUGAAGGAAAACAACGUGGUUUUAGUUUGGUUUUUUUGUUUGAUUUUUUCGUGAAAAAAAGUCCAACGAAACAUAUCAACAUGUGGUCUAGUUUUUAAGAUCUCGACGCAUGGAAUCUAACGGCAAAACCAGUUCUAGAUUUGGACGUAGGUUUUGAGAGAUAAAAUGUUUUGAAUAAACAAAUCUGCGAAAAAGGAAAAACCCUUAGGUUGCUACAAGUGACGCACAUGCAGUUGAAGACUUGUCGCACCCUGGGUUGGGGGAGUGAUCUUUGCCAAGAGUAGUUUUCAAUUAGUGAUUUCGCUAAUUAGAAGCUCGCAUCAUCUCCGAUGCGAGCACUAGUGGAUCAGCCCAUGUGCGCUCAUAUGGGUUUUUUGGAGCGGCUUUUGGAAGCUUCUAUGGAGCUGUUUAGACAAAUUUGAAAACCUUUCAUUCAUUUUUUAUGUGUUCACUAUAUAGAUUUACAUGGACUAAAGUAAAAUGUAGAUUUACAUUAUUUUUUCCCUUAGUUUUCUUUGUGUGUUUUUAUUCAUUUUUUGAAUACACAUGGAAUUUUUGGAAAUACAGUUCGAAUAUUUUUUGUUUACAUGUUAUUUCUUUUAUACACGUUGAUGAUUUUUGUAGACACAUUUAAGUGUUUUCCAAAAUAAACAGUAUUGAUUUGUCAAAUGAACAUUGGAUUUCUUAUGAAUAUAAGGUGAACAUUUAUGAAACACCCAUUGAACAUUUAGAAAAAUUCCAUGAACAUUUUUUUCUUAAAGCAUGCAAAACAGUUCUUAAUGUUAGAACAUAUUUUUUAAUGUCAAAGACAUUUUUGUUGAAUGGUACAAAAUAUUAUUUAAAAUUACAAGACCAUUUUUACAUACUAGAAACAGUUGUGGAAAAUGUUAUGACCAUAUUUUUGAAACGGCUGAAUAUUGUUUAAAUUUCAUAAAUAUAUUUAGAAUGGUAUGUCAAAAGUUUAAAAAUAUGUGAAUAUUGUUUCUACAUUGUAUAAAAAAUUUAAAAACUGUCAUGAACAUAUUUCUGAACACAUGAACUAAAUGUCAGGAACAUUUUUCGAAUGGUACAAACAUUUUUAAAAUUGUGGAGACAAUUUAUUACACUACAUGAACAUUUAUUUGAAACACGCAAUGAACAAGGGGUAAGGGACACGUGUCAUGUGCUUUGCUAGCGCAUCGUGGUUGCUGAGUGUCUCAUUCCUUUGUUGUUGAGUUUUGUUUUAGUGCGGAGUGUUUUUACAGUAUACUCGAGAAAGAUCCUACGUUACGAAGGAUGUGUUUGGUAGGCGUUUCUAGCGGGACUGGCUCGUGGACAUUGGCUCAACAAAGUUUGGUUGAGAUAAAACGAUCAUAAAACUAACAUCUGCAUUUAGUUUGGUUGCCGGCAUACAUUCUAAACUGAAUGGGGUGUCAUGAAAGACAUACUAUUUGGUUGUCUGUUUGUGUAUGCGCAAACACAAGGCCUACUAUUUGGCUGCAUGCAACACUUGUUGUGAGAUAACCUCUUCGAUGCGGUGGUGAGGUUACCAUCACAUAGCGGCGUCAGGAAGAACACACAACAUAACAUAGUAGUAAGCAGUUAUAAAUAUUGUGUCACAUUUAAAUAGAUUAGUUUAAAUGCAAAGCAGUUCAAUAUUAAACUAAAGCAACUAGAGCAUAUGAGCGGUUGUCCUAGACGUUCACAACGAAGGCAUCGUCAUGUCUCCCGCACCAGGCCACCACUUUACUGCCAUCGUCAUUGAAGACGAUGACCUUCACCAUGUCGGGAGUCAUCAACUGUGACCAUGAAGCCUAUCUUGAUUUGUUGGACGGCGACGAAGGUGGCCCAAACCUGGUCGAGGGUGACCCUUUCGUUCAACAGACGGACAAUGACCCUCCUAGAGCACUCGGUGUUCGCCUUCAAAUUGAACUCCUGUGGCAUAGACGGGAAGUGCUUCAUGAAGUCGAGUGGCAUAGGUAUGGCCUCGAGUGGCAUGAUUACCUUGCAGAAGUUAUUUGGCUCACCCAUCUCAUGGUAGUGGUCGUAGUUCUGACGCUUGUCGCUGGGGGGCUCCUCCGCGUAUCGUUGUCCGUGACCGGGCUCUGGACAGGCGCCACCUUUGAGGGCGGCACAACAUCCUUGCACUUGUAUUGCUCCUUUGGUGGCACCACCUCAUUGCCCUUGUUCUCCGUGUCGAUUUGCAGUGUGAAGAGGUUCAAACGAUUGGGUCAGGAUUUGCAAUAUGAACAUUGCAUCAUUGUCAUUAACUUAUUGUCGAGAACCCCAUUAUUUACCUAGGCUGAUGGUUACCACUUACCCACCACCUAGUUGUUUGUCUCUCUUCCUCCAACCCAAUGCCAUGAACUCUAAGAACAAGUCUAACCCCAUCCGCAACCCCUUUCCUUGGGGCAUUGGAUGGAGGGCCUUCUUCCUAGGGUGCUCGCUCGAUGACCGCACCAAGUUUGAGAACACCAUGAAAGUGUGUUCAAACUUCAACAGCUUGGAGGAGCAGUACAAAGAGUAGGACGCUAUGGUGAAGAAGGCGAGUCGGAGGAGUUGAAGACGCUGAUCAGUGACCCAAUGAAGGGUUCUAUGUGAGCCGACAUACUUCAUUGAGCCAUGAAUCAAGCCGUCCCCGGCGACGCUGGACAGAGGGAAAACUGAGCCAAGUACAGACAGCAUCGGUGUUCUUAUGACCACGGGGCCGCAACGUACUUCACCACAAAGAUUAUGGUGGUGCCGGUGGAGGAGCAUCAAGAAGUGCUGGCUAUGGAGGUGGAAGAGGAAGAUGCAGUGGCGACGAUUGUGAGGGCGCUGGAGCUAGGACACCUAAGCAUGCCAAUCAAGUUGGACUCCGGCGAGGAAGAAGAUAUGGUGGUGUAGGUCGAGGAGAAGACCAAGGCCAAGGCUACCCACCGCUCCAAUCGCCUCCAGGGUCCUGUGUACUAUGUAAGAUGAACCCUAAUCCCCAUUCCGAUUGUACUCAAUCCUGAUUGGGAACCUCAUAUCUACCCGUAGUCAUGACGAUGUUAUGACCACUCCUAUGGUGUUUACCCCGAUUCCCCAUUCUCCUAACAUGGAUCGAACCUAAACUCGGAUCAAAUGCAAAGUAGUACAUGAGGAGGGGGGAAAGUGCUUACCGCCAUUGCCGAAGUGCUGCUGUGGAUGCCGGUGAAGAGGCCGGAGUCGAUUUGCUGUUCCUCGAUCUGAUGCACGCCAUCGCCGCCGUCGGUGAGAGUAGGGAGAGUGGAAAGAGAGCGGUGAGAAAAGGUAAGGGUAAUGACUGUCGACGCUUCGGGAAACAACGCGGCUUCUCAAGGGUGGCUCCCCUUGUGCAACCCCUGCCGCCCACGUGCAUCGCAGAGGCCUGGCUCGCGAGAAACUACCAAUUCGAACGUGCCUCGCGAGACAUACCCAGACAUGCUUUAAAGUUCGUGACAUGCAGGCCCAACAAUGUAUGUUGACAACCAAUCAGUUUGUUUUCUUUCCACGGGCCUGGUUGGACCUUAUGCGGGCAACCAAACGCAUCCCCAAGUGUUGUUUAUUUGUCGGAAUUUUCUAAGGUACUGGGCAAACGACAUGUGUACUGAGUGCCCAUGAAAUUACACCAGGCAAACUGUAAAAUACUCAGCGUAAUUUUUUUCCUGUAGUUGUACAAUUGGCUGCGCUGCAGUUCCAAAUUUGAUAAAGUUACAAGGUUGGUGUACCAGAAAUUCAUUAUCUACCAAUCAUCAAUAUGUAUGCACAAAACAGUUGCCUGUCUGGGCCUUUGUAUCAACGUCCAUCCAUGUGUAACACGUUCAGCGGAACCGUCUACCAAACGUCUGACAGACACAGACACGUGCAUAUCCUCCAAACCGGGCAGGCUGGUUGCUUGCGCCCUCGUCGCUUUCUUGUCGAACUGGCUCCAUAUAUAGACUAAUGCACACCACAGUUCAAUUUCCAUUUUCGUUUCAGUCAUCGUACAUAUGACUGCAUUAUUCAGCUAACGUUUAAGCAUAGGGAUUUUUAUUUUCAUGUCCCGUCUUUCUUAGUUAUGAUUAGUUUUGCCCCGUUCAUUUAACAUUGCUCACUUUUUUCCCUUCUUUACUCAUCUACGCCUCGUAAAAGAUCAAACGGUGUGUUGACAUUGGGUUAGACCAGGGGCGGUCCUCAGAUUUUGGGGGCCCGGGGCUGGAUUAAAAGCCGGGGCCCUUAAUAUAGACAUAAUAACAAUAACACUGAAUAUACGUACCGGUGAAAUAUAAACACUUAAAUACGUCUAAUACUAAUAUGCAUAUCAAAUGUUUUAAAAAUAUUACCUCAAACAAUAAUUCUGACAUACCUUGAUGCAAAGGCCAUUAUGAUGGCGUCGAUGUUAAUAGCGUCCAAUAAUUUCUUCUCGAUGACAUAAUGUCACCAGACCAUAUAAACACUCUUGGUUCAUCGGUGACCUCACAUAGUUCUUCAAUCAAUAUUUCCAACUUCAGAGAGCUUCUUCCGACCAAUACGAUAGUCACAGGCAUAGUAAAUAGGAUGCAAUAAGCAAUGGAAAUAUCAGGAUAACAGCCAACUUCUAUUGACAUGCUGCAAAUCUCCAUUGCAGAUAUUACAGUCAUAUGGCAGAAUGAAUCCCACAAUUUUUAAUUUAGAAGUAAGAUCAUACUCCCUCCGUUCCUAAAUAUAAGACCUUUUAAAGAUUGCACUAUAAACUAUAUAGGAUGUACAUAGACAUAUUUUAGAAUAUAGAUUCACUCAUUUUGCUCCGUAUGUAGUCUCCUAGUUGAAUCCCUAAAAGGUCUUAUAUUUUAAAACGGAGGGAGUAUAUCUCAACAUCAUGAUACACAAUGCUGACAAAUAACAUUAAUUGUUGAACAAUAUCGAUGUACCGGCGAUGCAUCUACAGAAGCACAAUAAGAAUAUAUGAUAUACGUACCUCGGAUGGCUGAAUCAGCCAUGACGGAAAAUCAAAGCCGGAUUAUAGGACGCCCCGACGAAUUGAAAUCGACGGCGCGCAGCUGAUGAUCUAAAUUAGGAAAGAAAUUAGGUUUGGGAGAAAAGUAGAAAGGAGGGUCGAGCACGCAGUGGCGAACAGACGAUGCGUCGGCGGCCGCUAGGAAUCGCUGCGUCAAUGCGAGAUGGAAUAGGAAGGGAUCAAUCACUCCUAUUUUUUCGUGAAAAAACGGAAGGAACGGUUGCUGCCUUUGUGCCUCGCUGGACUGCUGGGUGCAUGUUUGCCUGCAUGCUACGUGAGGCCCAGUCAACCAACCCGAUAGGUCAUUUUUUUCUGAUCUGUAAAAACAUUAAAUAUGUUUGGACAAAGCCUAUGUACAUACGUGGGGAGGGCCCCCUAAACUUUGGGGGCCGGGGCGGCCGCCCCCCCCUGCCCCUCCCCUCGGCCGGCCCUGCGGUUAGACUACCAACAAUGAAAGUAACAUAGGUGGUAACAUAGAUAUCAUCUAAACAACAAAUGUGAUGUGGCAACUAAUUAAAGAAAAGUAAGAGAAAUUGAAUAACUUAGCAUGUUACUCAUAUUAGGAGUAACAUAGCGGAUACCAAGGCAAGAUGGGUGUAUAGGCUAAUAAAUAAAAGACUCAAUGUUACUACCCCUAUGUUACUAUCCACUAUGGAGGUAGUAACUUAGAUUAGUAACAUAUGUAUGUUACUCCCCAUUGGUCUUUCAGCGGCGUUCAGAGACUCCUUCAUAUUAUUAGACAUAAUUAUGUCUAGAGACACAACACACGAGGCUAUACGUAAAUCACCCUUAGAAUACCAGCGAGCUCUCGUUUAACCUACGGACCCGAUGGGCCAUGUUAAGACUGGUAUGAAUACCAGCAAGCUCGCUGACAAGGAUCCGACGACUCCAUUACCCCUCGCAUCGCUUAGAGAAAAAACCCGAUACAAGUCACCCCCUUGACUUGAUCUGGAAUUAUCUGCGAGAUGCCAUCUAUGCUCUCAUCUAUCAACAAUUUCAACACAUGUUCUGCCGGAGUUUUGGUGCUUGGAAACCAUGAGCAAACCGCUUGUCACUUCUCCCGUGAGAGAGCGUCACCGGCACAGAACACCUCCAAUGGUUUCGUGAUUGCCGAUGGCGGCUGCAGGAUUGGGGGAGGUAGGCUGCUCGGGCUGCGGGGGAUGCGAAUUGAGAGAGAGAGAGAGAGAGAGAGGGAGGGAGAGGGAGAGGAAGAGAGAGAGAGAGAGAUUUCGUCCCCCUUUUUAGGACAAAUGACCCAACCAUCCACUAGCCGGUCCCACAUGUCAGCAUUUCAUGUCAGUCCCAUGCGUCCACGCGUCAACACCGGACGAAGUAACGGUCAACAGUUUUGACCCGACGGUGAGGCAUUGUUUGGCCUUUUGCGAGACGGAGGCGAGUAGAGGAGGGAGAAAAGUGAGUAAUGUUAGACGGACGAGGCAAACUGAGCACAACUAAGUAACGAUGGACGAGGCAACUUACGUAAAACCAGCUACAAUUAUAAUAGCUUUCGAUGUACACCCGUGUGAUCACCAGCCAUCUAACAACCUUUGCCGACAGUUGUCCUUCAUCCACAAAGACAACAUCAUCCAAAUAAUUCACUUGCAAUCCAGGUUUCUCUAUCAUCUCUUUGGACAUUGUGAUAUUUACUAAUUCCCGAUCCAGAGGUCUCAUACGCCAUGGCGAUGUCAUGACCAGUCUAGGAGAAGAAGCACCUCGUAAACUAGAGCGGAACAGAACCUGGGUUUUCUAGGCAUGGCCUCUCGAUAAGAAGUUGAGAAGAUUAUGGCUGAUACAUGGUGAGAUAGGAUGAGGUGUCUACGCUGCCAUACGACAAAACCCUAGUAACAGGGGAUGCUUUAUCUGUGUUAUUUUUUAAUUAAAUCACAUGAAUAAUUGGCCGUGUGUAUGUAAUUCUAUAUUAAUAUAAUAGGACACAAAGAGGCAGGUCCAUAUCAUCUCGGCCAACAAAUCUAAGAUUUGAUGGUUCAUGUUGAGCACCAAGAGACGAAAACCGCUCGCGUCGCCUCCAGGGGGCGACACGGGCGCCCUAGCCGCCGUCGCCCUCGACCUCCCUCCUCCCCCGCUUCCCCGCCGUUGCCGGAGGAGGCCGGCGAGCGAAGCUCGCCCGGCGGACGACGGACGGCGGGCCUUCCUCCCUUCUUCACGAGGGGGUCCUUUGGCUGAGAUGCGACGGCGCCCCUGGGGGUACAACAUGGAGGCGGAGUUGGCGUGCUCGGGCGGCGUGGGAUCCCGGCGGCGCUGCGGGGGCUGGCGGCGGCGGAUCUGGGGUUCCCCACCCCAGAUCGGUUCUCCUCCGGGUGGUCGGGCUCAGGCGCCGUCCAGCGGCCCUAAGCGGUGGUGGACGCGCGCGUUGACUGUCCUCCUUCACAGAUGUGAUUGGAAACGACAGGAGGUGUUGGCGUGCUGCUAGAUCUGAACAAGGUGAUGGCGUCAUCCCCUUCAUCAGGGAUGACGACCAGGUGGUGGGUUCUUGUGGCGUCGCCGGUGGCGGCGGAUCUUGGGAUCCAGUUCCCGGGGACGUCGUGGGAUGUGGUGGCCCGUGCAGGAGAGAUGGGUUCUUCGAACAGAUCUGGGUCAAAGCUUGCUUUCGGCUAUUGCUAAGGUCGGCGAUGGCGGCGCUGUCUACAUCGUUCCCUUCCUGAAGGCAUCGCCGAGGAGAACUUCAGGGCCACUCUCUGCUACCUCCUGGGGUAACCCUAGAUCAGUAGAUCGGAUGACGGCGACGCUCUGGUGUCAUUUCCCCCUUGGGGGCGUCAUUCAUGGUGGUACACACGGGCUCGAGGGACCAUUGGUCGGCAUUUACGAUGGAGCAGCGUUCCUAGUGACACAUCGACGUUGUGGAGUCUCGGCGGCGAGGCGCGGCAAAGUCUCGGCAAUGAAUGCAUGAUGAUGAGCACGCGUAGGGAGGAGGCGUUGUCUGGCGCCGUGGGGGCAUCGAUGGCAGGCCUUGCAAGGUCGAUGCGUCAGUAAUUUUUCUGAAGAUGGAUUGAUGGAAGGCGGCGACGACGACCUAUGAGGGUGCGUCGGACCGUUUGUGCCCCUGACCCGGUAUGUGGCUCUGUCGGGGCCUCCGGCUUUAGAUGUUAGGCUAGGUGAGAGGUCUGGGUAUGUGGCUCACACUUUCUGCACCCCCUUCAUCAUUGUAUAUGAGUAGCGACAGAUGUUGCCAAGAGGACGGCUUCAGACAUACGCUUAACACUCUAGCUAAUUGACCACCAGUAGCACGGGAGAGGUGUUUUGGCUCCCGGGUAUAUGCACUCGGAUGAACAGUACUGCGAAAAAAGUUCUAAUUUUUUUUGUAGAUGAUUGUAUUAGUGUCGCAAAUAUGCAUGACAAUUUUCGUGCGAUAAGGAGCAACGGUGUUUCAUCAGCAAAAAAGACAAAUUUAGGAUGACAUUUUGGGGUAACUUUUGGUGUUCAAUUUGUUUUUCUUGCACAAACCAAAAUGUUUUAUCUUUUUGUCUCAAAAUUUACAAGUAGUAUUUGGAUGUGACAAAGCAUACAAACAAAUUUUGUCUCAUUUUUUUCCAUUUCAAACUUUUUUUUGGCCCCGAAAGCAUAUGCCGGGAGCCGAAUUGCAUUUCCGCCGGUAGCACUAGUUACAUACACACUAGACUCCGCGCAAUCCCAUGAAAUCUGUUUGGCGAUUAACAUACGGCUAAAUAUCAACAUGCAAAUAUUAUCUUACCAAAUGUACCAAAUGUGUAACUAGUAUCUUAAUUCUACUCCCUUCAUAAACUAAUAUAAAAACAUUUAAAAACAAUGCUUUAGUAAUCUAAACGCUUUUAUUUAAUUUACAAAAGGAGUGCUACCUAAUAUCAACAUGCAUUGCACCAACUCCCUUCAAGGUCUAAUGCGUUUUUAGGGUUGCCCUUGACUAUUGAUAAGAUUAAUAAUAUAUGAGAUCUAUGAUAAAGAGUCUUUUCACAUCCGAAUUUGACAAUAUACCUGUAACAUGCAAGUUAUAUAUAUAUAAUUGCUCUAACCCGUGGCCAAAGGAAAUCUUGCAAAAUGUAUCGGAUGAAGGGAGAACAUGAUAAUACCAGUCUAACAAAUAUAUCCUCUCCAAUCGCAAACAUUUAUCCCCUUGGAUCACAACCAUGCAUACCCCUUUUGAGUACUCCCUCCGUCCCAAAAUUAAUGUCGAGCAUGUAGUUCAUUGGGAAUUUUGCAAAAAAAAACCUCGUAUUUACAAAAUCGUCUCAAACAAGCACCUCCACCCCUAUCUUCUUCGUCCGUCCUCGCCCGUGCAUCGCGAGAGGCCGCGCCGUCGAACUGGAAGGGCUCCGCCGCCGUCGCCGCCAAUUACCUCCUCCAUCACCACAACCCAGAUCUGCGCCACCGGAUCUCUUCCCGCUGCAGUUACCUGUCGGCGUCGUUCUCGAGCUCCUGCCGGCGUCGGAACCUUCCGCCACUUCGUCCUCUGGCUCCCAUGCGUCAUCCUCGAGCUCCCGUGCAUCCUCCCCAAGCUCACGCGCAUCCUCGCUGGAAUCUCUACUGCUCCUUCUCCCUUGCAGCCGGUGUGCCUGCUUAUCCCCUGUCACCGGAGGAGCUCCUCUGCACGUACUUGUUGGAAUUAUGCCCUANNNNNNNNNNNNNNNNNNNNNNNNNNNNNNNNNNNNNNNNNNNNNNNNNNNNNNNNNNNNNNNNNNNNNNNNNNNNNNNNNNNNNNNNNNNNNNNNNNNNNNNNNNNNNNNNNNNNNNNNNNNNNNNNNNNNNNNNNNNNNNNNNNNNNNNNNNNNNNNNNNNNNNNNNNNNNNNNNNNNNNNNNNNNNNNNNNNNNNNNNNNNNNNNNNNNNNNNNNNNNNNNNNNNNNNNNNNNNNNNNNNNNNNNNNNNNNNNNNNNNNNNNNNNNNNNNNNNNNNNNNNNNNNNNNNNNNNNNNNNNNNNNNNNNNNNNNNNNNNNNNNNNNNNNNNNNNNNNNNNNNNNNNNNNNNNNNNNNNNNNNNNNNNNNNNNNNNNNNNNNNNNNNNNNNNNNNNNNNNNNNNNNNNNNNNNNNNNNNNNNNNNNNNNNNNNNNNNNNNNNNNNNNNNNNNNNNNNNNNNNNNNNNNNNNNNNNNNNNNNNNNNNNNNNNNNNNNNNNNNNNNNNNNNNNNNNNNNNNNNNNNNNNNNNNNNNNNNNNNNNNNNNNNNNNNNNNNNNNNNNNNNNNNNNNNNNNNNNNNNNNNNNNNNNNNNNNNNNNNNNNNNNNNNNNNNNNNNNNNNNNNNNNNNNNNNNNNNNNNNNNNNNNNNNNNNNNNNNNNNNNNNNNNNNNNNNNNNNNNNNNNNNNNNNNNNNNNNNNNNNNNNNNNNNNNNNNNNNNNNNNNNNNNNNNNNNNNNNNNNNNNNNNNNNNNNNNNNNNNNNNNNNNNNNNNNNNNNNNNNNNNNNNNNNNNNNNNNNNNNNNNNNNNNNNNNNNNNNNNNNNNNNNNNNNNNNNNNNNNNNNNNNNNNNNNNNNNNNNNNNNNNNNNNNNNNNNNNNNNNNNNNNNNNNNNNNNNNNNNNNNNNNNNNNNNNNNNNNNNNNNNNNNNNNNNNNNNNNNNNNNNNNNNNNNNNNNNNNNNNNNNNNNNNNNNNNNNNNNNNNNNNNNNNNNNNNNNNNNNNNNNNNNNNNNNNNNNNNNNNNNNNNNNNNNNNNNNNNNNNNNNNNNNNNNNNNNNNNNNNNNNNNNNNNNNNNNNNNNNNNNNNNNNNNNNNNNNNNNNNNNNNNNNNNNNNNNNNNNNNNNNNNNNNNNNNNNNNNNNNNNNNNNNNNNNNNNNNNNNNNNNNNNNNNNNNNNNNNNNNNNNNNNNNNNNNNNNNNNNNNNNNNNNNNNNNNNNNNNNNNNNNNNNNNNNNNNNNUGUUGGAAUUAUGCCCUAGAGGCAAUAAUAAAUGUGGUUAUUAUUAUAAUUCCUGUAUCAAGAUAAUAGUUUAUUAUCCAUGCUAUAAUUGUAUUGAAUGAAGACUCAUUUACAUGUGUGGAUACAUAGACAAAACACCGUCCCUAGCAUGCCUCUAGUUGGCUAGCCAGUUGGUCAAUGAUAGUCAGUGUCUUCUGAUUAUGAACAAGGUGUUGUUGCUUGAUAACUGGAUCACGUCAUUGGGAGAAUCACGUGAUGGACUAGACCCAAACUAAUAGACGUAGCAUGUUGAUCGUGUCAUUUUGUUGCUACUAUUUUCUGCGUGUCAAGUAUUUAUUCCUAUGACCAUGAGAUCAUAUAACUCACUGACACCGGAGGAAUGCUUUGUGUGUAUCAAACGUCGCAACGUAACUGGGUGACUAUAAAGAUGCUCUACAGGUAUCUCCGAAGGUGUUAGUUGAGUUAGUAUGGAUCAAGACUGGGAUUUGUCACUCCGUGUGACGGAGAGGUAUCUCGGGGCCCACUCGGUAAUACAACAUCACACACAAGCCUUGCAAGCAAUGUAACUUAGUGUAAGUUGCGGGAUCUUGUAUUACGGAACGAGUAAAGAGACUUGCCGGUAAACGAGAUUGAAAUAGGUAUGCGGAUGCUGACGAUCGAAUCUCGGGCAAGUAACAUACCGAAGGACAAAGGGAAUGACAUACGGGAUUAUACGAAUCCUUGGCACUGAGGUUCAAACGAUAAGAUCUUCGUAGAAUAUGUAGGAUCCAAUAUGGGCAUCCAGGUCCCGCUAUUGGAUAUUGACCGAGGAGUCUCUCACGUCAUGUCUACAUAGUUCUCGAACCCGCAGGGUCUGCACACUUAAGGUUCGACGUUGUUUUAUGCAUAUUUGAGUUAUAUGGUUGGUUACCGAAUGUUGUUCGGAGUCUCGGAUGAGAUCACGGACGUCACGAGGGUUUCCGGAAUGGUCCGGAAACGAAGAUUGAUAUAUAGGAUGACCUCAUUUGAUUACCGGAAGGUUUUCGGAGUUACUGGGAAUGUACCGGGAAUGACGAAUGGGUUCCGGGAGUUCACCGGGGGGGGCAACCCACCCCGGGGAAGCCCAUAGGCGUUGGGGGAGGCACACCAGCCCUUAGUGGGCUGGUGGGACAGCCCACAAGUGCUCUAUGCGCCAAGAGAAGAAAAAUCAAGAGGAAAAGGGAAAAAAAAGGAGGAGGUGGGAAAGGAGGAGGACUCCCUCCCACCAAACCUAGUCCAACUCGGUUUGGGGGGGGGAGAGUCCUCCCCCUUGGCUCGGCCGACCCCCUUGAGGGUCCUUGGACCCCAAGGCAAGGCCCCCUCCCUCCCACCUAUAUAUACGGAGGUUUUAGGGCUGAUUUGAGACGACUUUUCCACGGCAGCCCGACCACAUACCUCCACGGUUUUUCCUCUAGAUCGCGUUUCUGCGGAGCUCGGGCGGAGCCCUACUGAGACAAGGUCAUCAUCAACCUCCGGAGCACCGUCACGCUGCCGGAGAACUCUUCUACCUCUCUGUCUCUCUUGCUGGAUCAAGAAGGCCGAGAUCAUCGUCGAGAUGUACGUGUGCUGAACGCGGAGGUGCCGUCCGUUCGGUACUAGAUCGUGGGACUGAUCGCGGGAUUGUUCGCGGGGCGGAUAGAGGGACGUGAGGACGUUCCAAUACAUCAACCGCGUUCUCUAACGCUUCUGUUGUACGGUCUACAAGGGUACGUAGAUCACUCAUCCCCUCUCGUAGAUGGACAUCACCAUGAUAGGUCUUCGUGCGCGUAGGAAAAUUUUUGUUUCCCAUGCGACGUUCCCCAUCAGUACUGCUGCUGGUCAUCUGCCUGAGUUGUUGCUGCUCCUCUGCUGGAGUUGAUGCUCCUCUGCUCGAUCUACUCUGCCGCUGGUGAAGCUCUGCCCGUGGUACUGCUAUUCCUCUGCCCAUUUGCACCUGAAGAAGGUACUGAUGAAACUGUUUGUUGUUUACUGCUACCUAAAACUGCUGUUGUUUGAGAAACUGCAUUGCUUGAGAAACUUGUAAUGUUGUGGUAUCGAAAAUAAUUUUGUGCAAUACUUGUAAUGUUGUGGUAUCAAAAAUAAUUUUGUGGAGUAUCAGAAACAGAGAAGCCUGGUUCAAGGUUUUGCACUGGAAACAGAGCAGUCUGGUUCAAGGUUGUGCACUGGAAACAGAGCAAUCUGGUUCAAGGUUUUGCCUAGAUAAACCAGACCGGAUGAGAGACCAAAUACAUGGGCAAGUAGUCAAAAGAAACACAUAAUUUGCCUAGAAUCUUGUUGUCCUGUGAUGCAAGAAAAUUUCACCAUGUGUAUGUUGUGGAACGCUUACAGUUGCACAAAUCAGACAUAUCAGUAGGUUGGUUCAGGUGUUGGUUCUUGGCCUAUUAACAUAGAAAGCCCCUUUGUAACUACUAGGACAAUCAGCUUGUGUAAAGAUCAUAUUUAGAGACGAAUUGCAAGCAUUAACCUGAUCUUAACAUAUAUAAAUGGAUAUUAAGUUUUCCAUUUUAGGCGAAUACAGAUAGAGGUUUCAACUAGACCUAGUGAGAAAUGGUUCCAUGGUAGCAUUUCUUGUUUGGCUGUCGUAGCUCGAUUACAUAUUGUUUUUACGUGCGUAUAUAUUCUUGUUACAGUACCAUGGUGUACUCAUCUUUUGUCAUUGAUAGCAGGAGUAUGGAUUUGAACAUGAUACCUCAAGAGGAGGAUGAAGGUAUUAAUUUGAAUUGGAUCCCUCAAGAGGAAGAGGCUCAAGGGGGAGAGGAUGGAGGUAUGGAUUUGAACAUGAUGCCUCAAGAGGAAAAGGAUGAUGGUAUUAAUUUGAAUUGGAUCCCUCAAGACGAAGAGGAUCCAGGGGGAGAGGAUGGAGGUAUGGAUUUGAACAUGAUGCCUCAAGAGGAAGAGGAUGAAGGUAUUAAUUUGAAUUGGAUCCCUCAAGAGGAAGAGGCUCAAGAGGAAGAGGAUGAAGUUAUGAAUUGGAUACUUCAAGAAGAAGAAGAAGGUCAAGAAGGUGUACCAGGUAAACAGAAAAGAAAAGAAUUGUCAAAUAAGGAGAGGCAUGCUGUUUACUUUGCUCUGCUAGUAAUCGAGCUCAGAGAUGGAUCUGUUCAACCAAACGACAAGCUGCUAGUAUCAAUCUUGUUGAACAUACAUGUACGAUCUAUUGAGAGAAUCUGGUCGGAGCCAAAAAGCAGAUUGCCGCGGGCCAAGAAGUAGAUGUCUCCAACAAGAAGAAAGGAAGAGUUGGUCGAAAGAGAAAAGAGCUGGAUCUUGCAAGGACCUCAACAAUCCCAUUGAAUAGAAGAAGGACAAUUCGAUCUCUGGCACGGUCUCUCGGUGUGACCCGCUCAACCCUACAUCGGAGGUUCCAGUUAAAUGAGCUCAACCGCAUCACAAACACAGUCAAGACUUACCUCAAACCAGAGAACAAGAUUGCAAGAUUGAAGUUUUGUAUGUCCAUGCUCGAUGACAAUUGGAUCUCAACUUCCCAAGCUAUAUUCAAGCCAAUGACUAAUAUGGUCCAUAUAGAUGAAAAGUGGUUUGACAUGACAAGACUAAAGAACAACUACUAUGUACUUCCAGGAGAGCCUCCACCUGAGCGCACCGUGACAAACAUUAACAUCAUUGGGAAGGUAAUGUUUCUAACGGUUGUGGCCAGAUCUCGAUACAAUUAUGAUGGAGAGCUAACAUUUGACGGGAAGAUUGGUAUUUGGGCAUUCAUCAAAGAGUCUGAGGCAGUGCGAACGAGUCACAAUAGAGCAAGGGGAACGACAGUGCUGAAACCAGUGAAAGUAACGAGACCUGUGUGUAGAGAAUAUCUGAUCAAUAAGGUUAUACCAGCAAUUCAAGAUAAAUGGCCUGACGAUGAUGAGGGAGCAACAAUAUUCAUCCAACAAGAUAAUGCAAAGCCUCGCGUUCUUCCCAACGAUGAAGCUUUUCGAGAAGCUGUGGAAGAAACUGAUCUCGACAUUAAGUUGAUGCAACAACCUCCAAACAGCCCAGAUUUGAACUGUUUGGACCUCUGCUUCCACAAUUCUCUCCAGUCUCUAACCGAUUGUAGGUCACCUACAAACAUCCAGGAACUGAUACAGGGUGUGGAAGAGGAGUUUGAGAAUUAUGAUCCUCACAAGUUGUACAACAGCUUCAUCACAUUGCAAGCAGUUAUGUUUGAAAUUAUGAAAGAUCAAGGAGGAAACCAAUAUAAGUUGCCCCACUUACACAAGGAACGUCUUCAGAAUGACGGCAGAGAAAUAACAAGUGUAUAUUGUGACAGUCAGCUAGUUGCUGAUACUAGGGCCAUUCUAGAAGAAAUGCAAUAGGAAAAGGAAAGGAAGAAAAGAAGUAGUUGUAGAAAGGAAAAAAAGAAUUGAACUUAUCUGAAUUGUACUCCUUGUGUACUCCUUGUACUCCUUGUGUAUGUCUUGUGCAAUAGGAAAAUGCAAUUGGAAUCAUUUGAGAUCAAUGAUGAUACUGGUUAUCCAACAUUUCCAUCUUGUGUAUCGGAAUUCAUUUUAAUUGUUUGGACUAAUUUGUUUGAGUUUAUCUUGAGUUUAUCCAGCAUUUCCAUCUGUAUUGGAGAUCAAUGAUCUUGUGUAUUGGAAGGGUCAUGUACAUGGGGAUGUUGCCUCAAGUUUUAUUAAAUUUAUUGUUUCAGGUUUCAGUAUACAAAGAUUACUGGGGUAUUGUCUAUAGUUUGGAUAAACCAAAUAAAGUUCACAAAUCUUUAUUCCCUUUGUGCAUAAAGUUUACAAAUCCCAAGCAUAGAGUUGGGAUCAACAAAAAAAUUCUAAGCUUACAAAUCGUGAGUGCUUUCAUCUCAAAAAAAUUCUAAGCUUACAAAUCCAGAACUGGUAGCCUUCCUUAUCUCAAUUCUCUGGUACUGAUUUUUGCUCUCUUUUUUUACCUUCCUUCAACAAGUUGUUCCUUGAACUGCAGGUACUCAGGGACAGUCAACUCCUCGUCGUCUGAAUUCUCAAGUACAGUAGUACUAGUAGCUUGGUUCAGGUUGAUUCUCAAUGAUGCCCUGCACUUGACACUAAAGCCUCCAGCCUGCAGAUAUACAAACGAAAUACAGAUACAUGCAUCAGUCUGAACCUGAAGAAGAAGGAAUGCAACCUGUGAAAUGUGUGAAAUGCUCCUACCAACAGACAAUGGAUGGUUUUUUUGUUUUGAUUGGUCUUGCUCUCGGUUUGAAGAUGAAGUGGUGUUAUUUCGCUUACCGUUGAUGUUCAAGUGUAGGCUUUUGCCUGCCCAGCACCUCUUAACCAUGUCAUCUCCUUGCAGUGCGUCUGGUUCAGGCCGAGCUCCGGGAAGCGGCUGCGCAUCAGCGGCAGCAGCGUGUCCGACGUCCCCAGGUACAUGGACUGGAAGUUGGCCUCCUGUUUCUACACGAGCACCCUGAUGAAGAGGUCUUCGGGGAGAGCUGGGGCGACUUGUUGCCAUCUGGUGAGGACGUCCACGGCGCCCUGGUCGACGGACUUCGUGACGCUGAACAUUGUCACUGUCGGGGGACGGGAACGUGCUUCACCUGCCACGAGAGCACGACGCCGAAGCUCUCGCCGACGCCGUUUCCGACGCAGCCGGAGAAGACGGCGGCGGUAGGUGGAGAAAUCAUUGCUUUUUAUGAGGAAGGGGGAAGCUUGGGGAGGCAGGCGAGUCGCAACUGCGGCGGCGGAGCGGCGGGGGACCGGGGGAGCAGGGGAGUUGCGGCAGGCGGAGCUGCAGCGGGCGAGCGGCAGCUGCGGCGGGGGAGUAGGGCAGCUGCGGCGGCGAGGAGCAGGCAAGCUGUAGCGAGCGUAGAUGGGGCAUCUGUCGGAGGAGGAGGACGAGGAGCGCGGGUUUGGUCGGGAGAAGCUGUAGGGGCUUUUCGCAAAAUUACCGUCGCGACAUUAAUUUCGGGACGGAGGGAGUAGCAUCUAAUCCUUCCAAAUAACACAGAACAUACGUGUUGCACGACCCAAAUGGGGCCCGGUCAAUGACAUCAAUCCCAUAUGUCACUCUCUGCUCCUACUACCUCGCUGUCCAUUACUUCAUGGUAAAUCUGGGGACGAGGAGGACAUGGUCGUCUGUCUGGCUCUUCACCUCCCUCGGGAGCAGUGCACUCGACCACGGUUGGACUCUAACCGGUGGAAAUCCAUGGUGUCCGUUCAAAUGUCGUUUGGAUGCGCAGGGAUGAUUGCUCGAGGCGUGCGGGCGCGGCCUCGACGGACACAGUGAUCGCCGUCCAAUUCUAGUAUGAUGAUGCAACCCCUUUGGUGGUGCCUCAUCCCUACGCCCUCGGGCUCGGAGUCGAAGAUCUGCACCGGCAUGAGUUACGGUCCAUCUUCUAACAUGGAGUGGCAUACCCGUCGUGCAAGGCAAAGGCCGCGUGGCGAGACGUAGAUGCUCUAACCACAUCUAGAUGGGAUCACAUCGAUUUAUGAUAUCCCGACUUCCCGAUCAACGAGUCUCCUCUGAUCAAAACCAUGUUACCCUAAUAUGCAUGUAAAAAAGUUAGGCUAAUAUGCGCGUAAAAAAGUUGAUUAACUGCUGCUAAAAUGGUGUGAUGUGAUAAGCCGGCCCUCCCCAACAAGAAAUAAUAACAACUGCCCCCCUAUCUCUCAUAUCCAAUUUAUAUAUGAGCCGGAUAUAGCGAGGACUGGAUGCGUCCGUCAGGUUGUAUCCGGCUCACGCUGGUUCAUCCCGACCCAUAUAUAUCCGUCUCUAUCUCCAACCUGGACGAAACCCUAGCUACUCCACCCCUCUUCUUAGCUCCGUUCCGAUGAUCUCCAGCCAUCUCCGACAUUACAGGCAGCGUCCGACACGGAGUUGGGAUCUCGCCCCAUGCGGGGAUGAGGAGGACAUGGCCGUCCGGCCGGCACUUCGCCGCCCCCGGAAGGAGUGCGCUCGACCACGGUUGGACUCUAUCCGGCAAAAACCCAUGGUGUCCGUUCAAAUCUCGCUUGGAUCCGCAGGGAUGAUGGCUCGAGGCGUCCGGGCGCGGCCUUGCCGGACGCGGUGACCACCAUAAUAUUCUAACUCCGGGAUGGCGAUGCAACCCCUCCGGUUGCGCAUCAUCCCUAACAUGGAGCGGCGUACGCCGUCGUGCGAGGCAUAGGACGCGGGGGCGAGGUGUAGAUGCUCUAACCGCAUCUGGAUGAGAUCACAUCGAUUGAUGAUGUCCGGAUAAACGAGUCUCCUCAGAUCAAAACCGUGUAAUAAUCCUACAAAAUAAAGACAUCGCCCAACGUGUUCCAGAACGCUCUGAAUGAGACCCCGCGAAUGGCAACAACCAUACCAUUUAUGAGCAAGUUUUGUCAGUCCCCCCACCCGGCCAGCCCGUGACAUCGAUGUAGCAGCUUCCGUUCCUAUUUAACCAGCGUACCAUUUGCACUACAUUGCAUCACAGCAAGCACACACACACACACACUCUCUAGAGAAAUGGCGAUGGCUAGGACGACGGCGCUCCUCCUCGUCGCCGCGGCUCUCCUGGCGGCCUCAUCCAGCGCAUGGGAGGUGAACAUCCAGAUGCCGGCGUCGGCGGCCGUGGACGAUGCUGUGGCACCGCUCAUCCACGCGCUGCGGCCGCUCCUGGGCUCCGGCAAGCAAGCCGGCGUGGCGUGCGAUAGCUGGCGGCUGGGCGUGGAGGCGCACAACGUGCGGGACUGGAAGACGGUGCCCGCCAGCUGCGAGGAUUACGUCGGCCACUACAUGGUCGGCGACCACUACCGCCGGGACUCCAAGGUCGUCAUCGACCAGGCCAUCGCCUACGUCGACUCCCUCAAGCUCGCCGGCAACGGCAAGGAGGUCUGGGUCUUCGACGUCGACGAGACCACCCUCUCCAACCUCCCCUACUACGCCAAGCACGGCUUCGGGUACGUACUAAGUACUCGACUUGUAUAUACAUACACAUUAUGCUAUGCAUGCUUGACUAAUUAUUGCAGGUGCGUUUGAGCAGGGACUACUUGCACUAAUCUUUCGUCCACACAAAGUAACUGAUCAAGUGCAAAUCUGACUAGACCUGGUUGCUAAAAUGAGCUCACCGACCCGGCCAGCUAAAAAGAAGCACCAGCUAAAAAGCAUAGUAACACAUUGAAACCAUAAAGACAAAUCUCUAUCUAAUAAUUAAUAAAUGGGAGAAAACUAAUGAAACUACAAGUGCAAACAGAAAGGCAUAUAUAUGUUGGGCAUCAUAUGCGAAACAUUUCUUGGCACUGGAGUCUGGUCGAAGCUAUUCCUUUGCGAAGCUUUUCACACGUGUGUAAUACCUAAUCAUGUUUGAUCCCGAAAAGUUUCAGAUUAUUUUUUACUCUUUUUGAAUUUUCUAAAAAAAUAAUCAAUUCGGGUGCAAUGGGACCUGAGACCCAUUGGCUAUUUCUGCAAAAUGCUUCUAUCUUCUUGAUGUGACACUAUAAAUUAAUAAAAACAUCUUUUGUUGAGAGAGAAAAAGCAUGUGAAAACUAGCUGCCAUGGUUGAGUCUGUCAUUAAUCUAUCUGCAUAUGCACACACGCGCGCGCAGGGCUACACCGUUCAACUCAACAAGCUUCAGGGCGUACGCACGGGAGGGAAGCGCGCCGGCGCUCCCGGAGACGAAGCGGCUGUACAACAAGCUUCUCUCGGUCGGCAUCAAGCCGGUGAUCCUCACCGGACGGAGGGAGAACCUGAGGGCCUCCACCACCACCAACCUCCGCAGCCAAGGCUACUCCAGGUGGAUGAAACUGCUUCUGAAGCAGCAAGACUUCAGGGGUUCCUCAGUGACCUUCAAGUCCGGCGAGAGGCAGAAGCUGCAGGAUGCCGGUUACAUCAUUGUGGGCAACAUCGGUGACCAGUGGAGCGACAUCCUUGGUGCUCCCGAGGGCGCCCGCACCUUUAAGCUUCCCGACCCCAUGUACUACAUCGGCUAGUUUCAUCGCUCGUCAUCCAUGAAUAAGCUCCAUGCUCUUUAAUAAUUGUAUGCAUGCUUUGUCUGUAAUCCUUCCCCUGUUGUUGCUUGGUCAUUUUCCUUUGUUGAGAACUUGAGAUCAAUUACUUGUAUUAAUAAAUGUGUCCCACGGAAGGUGCAUGUUGUUUAAUCAAUGGAUC